rnacentral:lncRNA from 1 species
GGAACUGCUCGACUUCGGGGGCGACUUCGGCUUCGGAGGACAGGAGCUCGGCUACAGCUUCUUCUUCUGGCGCCGGGUGAAGCUCGUAGAAACCGUCGGCGAGGUGCAGCUCUACACGAAUGCAAUGCAAGGGUUAGCAUAGACGGUUAUUUCAACAGCAACACUGGCUCGCCUGAGCCCAGAAACUUGCGACAAAGAGCAGGAGGUUAUGGUGGUUUGAGAGAGCUGAUGAUGAUCAAGAGGUAAGGGUAGGAAAGAAAUUAGUGGUCUGAUCCUUGAACUAGAGGAUGUGAUAAACUGGGGGUCCUUAGACGUAGCGCUAAAGGGUUCCCAAGUUUUAUACAUACACCCUCGAGUUGAAGAAAAAGAUCACAGCCAAGCCCUCGGGCGAGGCGGAUAAGGGUCGGCGGAACAGACAGGGUCGGGCGAGACGGAACCGGGGUCGGGCGGAUAGGAGGGGUCGGGCGAGGCGGACUGGGGUCGGCAACUCACCUUCUUCCUGAAAGGAAAGCUUGGGGUCUGAAAGAAGCGAACUUGGGCGGAGGGACUAAGGUUUGAACAGAAGCUAAGACUGGCAAUGCUCCGGCGGCGGCGCUGCUUCUUGCGGAUCACAAGUGAGCUUUUACGCAGCACGGAGGAGCAAGCUGCUGGGUGACUUGGAGAAAACUGAGAGAGAACUGAGAGAAGAACUCCUCAAGAACUGGGUGGGUGGUGCUAGGAGCUUGAGCAGGGAGCUAGAGAAGGCUGAAGGCAACAAGGGCGGAGGGAACUCCGGCGACGGGGGCAUUCCUUUUAUAGCUGCUGGAGCAGAGGAAAGGAAACGGCGCGGAGAGAGAGAAGGGGAGCAGCGCGAAGGCCGGGGAGAGGCAAUGGAGUGCUCUGCCGGGGCGGCGAUUGAGCAAAGGGGGCGGUGGUGCAGAACUCCGGGGGUGACGCCAGCGAUCAUUGCGUUCUGCCGUCAGGGCGGCGUAGGAGCGGGUAGACUGGUGGUUGAGAUUUGGCGGAAAGCGGGCGUCGCCGUGCGGAAGAGGUGAUAGAAGCGACCGGUUUAACGGCGCUAGAAUCGAGGGUGCACAGGUGAGAAGACAGGCGGACGUGGGCGCGGGGGAGAGCGCGGAACAACAGAUUGUCGGGCGACUUCUGACAGAGCGGGGGAAAGGAACUGUCGCGGCCGCGGUCGGGGUUGGCGGGGGAGGAAUCGUCGUGUAGCGGCGACCAGGCGGCGCGACUGUGGCUGAAGGGACGGAAAAGACGGGCGACAUCGGGCUCUGGGGCCGGGAUCUGGUGGCGUGAUGAUGGGCGCGGGAGGCGAGGCUCUGCAGAAAGGGGUGCAGAGGGCUUCCGCUGCCAUUGGGGAAAGGGGGCGCGGGAACCCACUCGGUCGCUGGCCAGAGACAAAACUGAGCGGCAGGCGUCGGAGAAGACGAGCCACGCGGCAGGAAGACUCUGAAGCAGCCAUGCAACUCGAGUGCGGCUGUCGCGGGGGAUCUGGAAAAGAUCUCACGGGUCCACCGGUGGAUAGAUCGGUCGGUUGAGGAAGAUUAGCAGAAUCCGAUGGUGGGCGGAGCUCGCCGGGGUCGGGAGAGGAACGAAGCGGGAAGGGGUCGGAUCUCAGGGGUCAGGACCAGGCGGAUAGCUGAGCACUUAGGCGCGGUCAAGCAAGACAGAUAACUAGGAUCAAGGGCUCUGAUCAAGACUAACUCGGGAAGGUUUAGGGGUCGGUCAUUACAUAUGCGGAGCACACCAAUCGGCCCAUAAGAUGAAAUGGAUGAUCAGGAAUAAUGGGUACUACUGGCCAACGAUCCUCGAAGACUGUUUCAAAUAUUAUAAGGGUUGUCAGGAUUGUCAAAAGUUUGGAAAUGUCCAGCAUGCACCCGCAUCAGCCAUGAAUCCCAUCAUCAAGCCAUGGCCGUUCAGGGGAUGGGGAAUAGACCUUAUCGGCCAAAUUUACCCACCAUCAAGCAAAGGGCACAAAUUUAUUCUGGUGGCUACUGAUUACUUUACCAAAUGGGUAGAGGCAAUCCCGUUGAGAGCCGUGACAUCGGCUAUCAUGCCCGACUUUGUGAGGGACCACAUCGUCUACCGAUUCGGCAUCCCUCAGACUAUAACAACCGAUCAAGGAACAAUGUUCACAUUAGGGGAAUUUGAGGAAUUCACGACCGAUAUGGGAAUCAAAUUGUUAAAUUCUUCUCCGUAUUACGCCCAAGCCAAUGGUCAGGCAGAAUCCUCCAACAAAGGGAUAAUCAAGUUGAUUAAAAGGAAAAUCGAGGAACAGCCAAAGAAGUGGCAUCUAUGUUUGACUGAGGCCCUAUGGGCGUACAGGAUGGCUUGUCAUGGGGCUACCAAGUUGUCUCCCUACCAGUUGGUGUACGGUCACGAUGCAGUACUACCGUGGGAAUCAAGGGCGGGAUCGAGGCGUAUUUCGCUCCAGGAUCAGUUAUCGGUCGAUGACUACUCAUCACUUAUGAAAAGGGAACUUGACGAUUUGGCUGGCCAACGAUUGAGGGCUCUGAUAAGUAUUGAAGAAAACAAAAAGAAAGUAGCCAGGUGGUACGAUAAGAAGGUCAAAGUUAAACAAUUCUCCCCUGGGGACUUAGUAUGGAAGUUAGUAUUGCCGAUUGGGUCGAAGGAUCCUAAAUUCGGAAAGUGGUCCCCUACAUGGGAAGGGCCGUACAAAAUCGGCAGAUGCGCCCUAGGAAAUGCUUACAUUUUGGAAACAAUAGAAGGAGAGGAAUUUACUAGAGCUCUGAACGGAAGGUACUUAAAAAGAUACUACCCCAGUAUAUGGGUCGGAGCGUAGGAAAUUAACCGUGACACGACCACACAUAGCCGAUACAAAUCGGUUCAAACACAUAGCCGAUACAAAUCGGUUCAAACACAUAGUCGACUAGAUCGGCCGAUUGCAUUCAUUCGGUACGGGCGAUGGGUUACAUGGCCGAUAAAACAUUAGUCGCCCUUAGAACAAAAAAUACAAAAAACGAAUUAUUCUUCUUGGGCGCCUUCCCGUUCCGCUCUAACUCGCUCAUGACGCGGAGGUAUUCUUCCUCUAUCGCCUUUAUUGAAGUCUCCGCUUCAACUUGACGAGGGAGAAAAUGACUCCGACCCAUGGGAGGGCGUGAAGUUCCUGCCACCGCGUCUUCAAGAACGACUCGCCGAGGAAGCGGAUGGCUCCUGUCGGUGGGAGGGCGCCGGCUGCCGUUGCUCUCCAUAAAGUCCAAGAUCGUACAGGCCGUCGUGGCGACAUCGUCUUCAAGGUCAUUGCAAUGAUGGCCCCUGACAGUUGGAGAUCGUCGGCUACUUUCACUCACUACGAAAUCCAAGACCACAUGAGCCUCCGCAGUAAUGUGGUCCCGAAGUUCCUCUUGAUGAGCCAUGAUCAGUGCCUUGUCCUCCGACGUCAAUGGGUCCUCGGAGUGAAUGAGCUCAAUGGCGCGCACGAGCUCAGGGCUAAGACGUUGAGGCUGAAACAAAGAAGGAAUAAGAAGGGACAUUUUCUUCCUAGGAUCUAAAAAAGAAGGGGAGGUAGAGGUCAAGAUUUCACCUGGUUAACAGAGGAAGAAGAAGCCGACGAAGCCAUGACAAAAAGUAGCACCGAUGAGAGGAAGGAGAAAGUAAAACCGAAAGCCAAAUUGGUACUAUCGGGAGUAAGUGCUGAAGUCGGUAUUUAUGGAAAAAGAUGCAUGGAAAUUUGGUAAGGCUACGUCCCAUCGGAAAUAAGAAAGGUAAUAAAUAGAAAGGGCGUCGCGAGGGACGGUCAAAGAAGAUAGUAAAUGUUCGUACAAAACGGUCAGUGUUUUACAGAUUACCCAGAAGGGUAUCGAUAGCCGUGAUAGCCCGACGCCGGAUCUGAUCGGCAGAGUCAAGAACCCGUUGGUCUUCGUCUGCCGAUCCAGGGACUUCUGAUGUGCUGCGAUGGAGCUUUAGGGCCUCGUGUGCAAAGCGCUGCCGCUCCCGUGUCAAAUCGGCAAUAACAGAGGGUAGCUCUUGGAGCUUUUUCUCUUCGGCACCGAUUGCCUUAGUCACUUGCUCCAUCUCCUUGGCAAGCUUCGCCCUCCGACGCUUGAGGCGGUCUAUCUCACCGAUGAUCGCCGGGUGAGAAUCUUCCAGAACAUGGAUGCGCCGAUGUGCCUCUUGGGCUUGACGCUUGAACGCGUCCUCUUCUUCACGAGUCUUGGCCAGCUUGGCGCGAUCGGCCAUGUGACGAAGGGCUCUGAAGACCGGGAUCCUCAUAGACUCGAUGAAGGCUGCCGGUGCCAAUGCCUCUUCCGCCUCCUCUGGUACUCGUCCGCUGAUGUCACUGAAGAGCUGCCGAAUCGGUGAAGCGUCUUCUACUAGUUGACCGAUGUCCCCUUGAAGGAGGGAUCGUAUACUGGCAAGUUUGGCUCGGACGUCAUCAGGAACGGAGCUCAAGGUAACCUGGCGAGAAGCAACUUCUUCAUCGUCUGAGAGGGCGACCGCAAAAGAAAAGAGACUGUUGUCGGGGGUGUCUUGUUCCUGAAGAAAAUAAAGAGGGAGAAUAAAUCGGCGGGGAGUAAAAGCAAAUCGGCUGAAUAGAAGCCGAAACAAAACUUACAGCUUUGAAGCGAAUUUCUUCAUGCUGCACUUGUGAAGCCAUCACGCCUUGCUCAGGGGCCUGCGUCAUAGGUUCAUCAGAUGAAGAAGAUUCCACGAUGAUCGGCGCGGUGCUUGGACCAGCUCCCUGAGAAGAGACUGGUGGUUGAGGAGCGCUUGGUGUGCUGAUGACCUGUGUCAGAGGAUUGAAUGAGUACAUUAUGCAAAUACCAAAGGAAAUCGGUAAGAUAAUACUAUACCUCAAUGGAUAGAAGUGGGGGUGCGCCGAUGGCCGGUUGGGUUGCUGCCGAUUGUUGUAUUUCCAUAGGAGUGCUCUGUGCAGUCUAAAGAUAAGAAGGGUUAAUAUCAGAGCAACAAUCGGAAGCAAGAAAACUUAGGUUUACCUGAACGGCUUCCAAUAACAAUGACGCAGCGGCUGCUCCAGCUUGUGCAACGGCUUGGGUAUCAACAUCUUGGGUGACCUGAGAAGGUGGUGCGGCCGGAGUCUCUGCCGAUACAAGCACAGGAGGAUCCGCCGAUUCUAUACGAGCUCGGACUCGGCGACUGGUCUUCUUGGUGGUCCUCUUCUGGACUUGUUUCGAUCGGCCAGCAAUCACGUCCACGGACGGAGCAUCAUAGCCGAUAAGAGGGUAAGUGGUGUAUGGGUGGCUCUCUAUUAGCCGUCCGCUACGGCUGUGUGUUGGAGGAGUUCGAUUCUCGGCCUGAAGAAAUAGCAAAAUUAUUAGUGCUUAGUCACGUUAAGAGGAAUAAAAACCGGCUAAUACCUCAGCGUUCGGGUCGAUGUUGGCUGGGUCCAGAAGGUUGCAGUAUGCCGAUGCCGAGUUGCAGAAAAGAAAUUGCUUCCAAUCGGCCCACCAAAGUUUGAACGGCUGGACAGCAAAGGGAGCUACUAGCCAGUCGUUCAGGUCAAUGGUACUGGAGUCCGGAAUUCGGUCUCGUAACCGACUAUAAUCCAGGCCAGAUGUGAGCUCAUCUCUAAACUUGAUUCGGCCAGCAAAAUACACUUGAAUCGGCAGCUGACCCAUGGCGAAUUGACGUGCUGCAACAGAAGGGUUGUAGAAUUCAUACGUAGGGGCAUCCUUCCCCGAGAAGAAAUUGGCUGGCAGGAGCCCUGGCUUGAUUAACUCAUCAUAGAGCUCUUCAUCAAAUUGGCCGGAAGCUGAAUCGAAGCAAGUGGGGAGUUCAAAGACCGGGUCGUCUCGCUGAUACGGAAACCAAAUGGUUGCAUCUUCACUGAAGCCAUUAUAGAAGCAUUGAAAGUACUCGGCUACCUUUGUAGCAGAAUACAUGCAACCUGGGAAAGCUGAUGCCGCUUCACCGAAGGACAUACAUCGGCGACGUUCGGUAGGGUCUUCUGCCGAUUCGAUGUUGGGGAACAUCAUGCGAUCCACCGGCUGCUGAGUGAUUCUGCUCAUAUAAAGGUUCAACCACAAGUUGAUGAACCACCAGGGCCCGCCUUGAUUGCCGAUCGGCUCUCCCUUGGAUAGUCUUAUGCCAAUUUGGUGGAGCAUGUGGUACGCGGCCCCUAUCAAAUGUUUCCCAAGAGGGACAUGGUUUCCCCUGGACAGUGCUUCAGCUAAGGCCUGGGUAUUGGUUGUCGGGCCGGCGGCUCUUCCGCAAAAGAAGUGCUUUUCUAACCACAUCAUCAAGAAGGCUGUAUGCUCCCUAUUUUCAACAGUCCCGGUCCUCUUAUUGCUUCUGAUAAAACCCUUCCACCCGCCGAUUCCCCUUGUGUCCAACCGAUGUGAUGUUGCGGUUAGGAGGUGGUAGGGUGUGUCCGGGGAAGAUAUGUCAAGGCCGAUCAACAAGACCACAUCGGCCAGUGUUGGGGUCAUAGGACCGUGCCCAAAUAAGAAGGCAUUAAGUGCAUCUGACAUAAAAUAAGAAGCCGCCAUCACUAACGGCUCAUUUUUCUCCAUCUGGGAUAAGGAUAGGUUGAUGCACUGGCCGAUUUUGAGCUCUUCCCAUGAGACGCUCUUUGAUGCGGCUAUCCGUUGGUACCACUCCCUCCAACCUGGGGUUUCAUUCGGCCAAGAUCUAAAAGUACCCAGCCAGUGAUCUAAGUCCAUAUUAGACAGUUUGAAGGGUAUCCUGUGGGUUUCCAAAUUAAUAAGCUCUAUUGGAUCUGGGUUUCCCAUGGGUCCGAGACAAACAAGGCCGGGAUUUCCCGUAAGGUGAAUGGUAAUUCGAUGCCUAACUGCUUAAAAAGGGAAAGGGGAGUGUAGAAAAGUAAGAAACAGAUCUAAGGUAAAUAUAUUGCCGAUAGAAGAAGAAUUCGGUAUUUACCUCUGCGAUAAAGUUCUGAGUGAUCGGCGUGGUCGCCGGUGCGGAUGCGAACGACGGGGCCGCGAUGGGGAUCGCCAUCGGGAUCUCCGAUGAAACUCCUUCUUCUGUGGAUGGAGCGACGGCUGUCGCCACCACCGCCGGAGGUGCUACUUCUGGGACAUCGCGUGCGGGAGAGCUGCCGGAAGGAGCCGCCAUUGGAAGAGAAGAGGGAAAAGUAACAGGAGGUGGAGCUAGGAAGCUUCGGCGGCAAGGGAAAGAUGCUGGAGGAGGAAGAAGGCGCGCGCGCUGGGAAAAGAGACGUGAGCUUGAAGAUGAGGUGUGGGUGAAGCGCUAUUUAAAGGAUGCCUGAAGAGGGGUAAAAAUGGAAUUUUCACCGCGCCGGCGCUUCGAUUUUUUCGGGAGUAGUGGCUGUCGUGGGCGCCCGUUUCGAAAAAAUUGCAAUGAUCAGCUGGAAGACCGCGAAACGGAAGGAUAUUUUCACUGCGGCCGUUUCGGAAGGGAGGUUAUAAAGAAUUUCGAAGUAAAAGAUUAUGUUUUACUCCGAAACUGGGGGGCAUGUGUUGACGCCAGAUUUCGUCACUAAUAGAAUCGGUGCCAAGAAGAGAGGGAAUUGGAGGAGCACAGUUGGGAAUCGGCCAAAUGGUGCUACAGUGUGAGAUCGGCCGGUGACUUCUGUCUCGUUUAGGGUCGAAUAUACCAGAAUCCCAAUCGGUAGCCUUUUGCCAAUGAGGAAUCGGCCGAUUAGGAGGAUGGGUUAAUUGGGCCUGUAUGGGCUUGGAAUAGAAAGAUGAGGUGGAAAUCAGCCCACGAAGCGUGGAGUAACUAACCUAGCACGAAUCGUGCUUGUAGAUAUUUGUUUUCUGUUUGAAUUAGGGAUAGAAUUCUAGUCGGUUAAGAAAUCAUCUGUACGGGGCUAUAAAUAGCUACCUUUGUAAAUCUGUAAUCAUCAACCGAUCAAUACAACAAGCUACUUUUUCCUCGUACUUACUUUCAAGCAGGCGAUUUCGCUACUACUUUUCUCCUUUUCACAAGUUUGUGCGGGUUGGCAGGGUUGCAUCAUCUUGAUCUUCGGCCGAUUCUGUAAGUUCCGUUUAUCGAGUAAUAUCUAAGCUUUAACUUCGGGCGUAUCGCUGUUGUUUCGUUUAGAUUUAUUCACUAGUUAUCAAUAUUUACUAGAAUCGUAGGUUUUUUGCCUGUUGUUCUAGUUUUAUCACCAGUUAUCCAGCUAGAAAUCGGUAGUUUCGGUUUCAUUACUUUCUGCUGUUAAAUUCAUCUAUUGCCGAUUAGAUCUAUUCCUAGUGUUGUUAUCAUAGCUUUGUAUCGAUUACUCUAGUAAUUCUCUGUCAACAAGGCUACAGUGAUCGACUGCCCUAUAGCCGAUUCCUUUAUUAUAGUAAAUCGGCCGAUUCGCUGAUAAGCUCUCUCGAGAUCGGAAACUUAGCCGAUCGUGAUUUCUGAACCUGACACGUAUUCUUCCUUGCCAAUCAACAGGUCAGAUUGGCUGGCACGCUGCGGAGACCGCACCAGGGCAUUCACCCGAACAGGAGCUAAGCAGAUUCUCCCGGGUCGUGUGUUGGAUGUUGGGAUUCGGUUGACCGAUUUCUAGCGCCAACACCGAUUGAAGAAAAAAAAAGAGCGUGGCAUCGGCCGAUGGAAAAUUGGUUCAGCCGAUUGAAAAAAGAAAGAAAGAAAGAAAAAAGUGGGGCAUCGGUCAUUCGUGUGUCAAAAAAAAAACAAAAAAAGAGAGGGGCAUCGGCCAUUCAUGCGUCUCCUUAUUGAUAAAAAAAAUGGGCCGAUUGAAAAUUGAAUCGGCCGAUCAAAAGUUGUAUCGGCUGAUUAAAAUAUAUAUAUAUAUACACAUCGGCUGAUUGAAAUAAGGAAAGCAUCGGCUGACUGGUUCAAAAGAUGCAUCGGCCGAUUGAGAUAAGGGAAGCAUCAGCUAAUUAAAUACAUCAGCCGAUUGGGAUAUAUAUAAAAAAAAAGGGUAUCGGCUAAUUGAAAAAAGUGCAUCUGCCGAUUUGGAUAAAAAAGGGGAGUUGAAUCGGCUGCUCAAGCAUCGGCUGCCUAUUUAAUAUUCUCCCACAGCUCAUGGGAGAGAUGGAAGAUUUUUCAGCCGAUGCAAUAUUUUUCAGCCGAUGGAAUUGCUAACGUUGGCUGGCCAUAUAAAAAGCUAAUGUAGUUUUUUUGUUAUCGGCCAGUUCAAAGGAAAGCAUGGAUCAGCUAGCCGAUGGAAAGAGCCGAUGGAAAAAAAAAUUCCAAAGAAAACAAGUAUCGGCAGGUAUAAUGGCCGAUGGGAUAUUGAAGAGAAGUAAAUAAAAGAGGAAAAGGAGAGCAGCCGAUAGGAGUUCAGCCGAUGGGCAAAGGAAUAAAUAAAAGAAGAAAAAAAUAAGGGGAAGCAGCUAGCCGAUGGAGACUCCAACCAACCAGCAACCAAAAAAAAAAACAGUCAACGGAUGGAAGGAAUUCAGCCGAUUGCUACUUGCCAGCCGAUGGUUCUACUUUUUUCAGCCGAUAAUACUACUUGCUUGCCAUAUUUCAGCCGAUGAAGCUAAAUUCCAGCUACUGAUAUGAAAGCUCUUCCGGCCGAUUGGUUCAAGCAAAAUUGCAUCGGCUGAUCCCGAUUGGUUCAAGCAAAAUUGCGUCGGCUGAUUGGUUCAAGCAAGAUAGUAUCGGCUGCUUAUAAAAUAUAUUGGAUAUUAAUUUCGAAGCAUGAAAUAUUCAUACUUCGAAACUGGGGGGCCUGUGUUGACAACAAAAGCUUGCUGGUUACUGCACCAAGUUUUGGUGUCAACAGACUAAUUUGUUGUUUCUACUGCUGGCAAUGCCGAUGGUGUUCUUUAUAUUUGAAGAGGAGUCAACGUGGCUUUGGAUAUUGCAAUCAGACGUCAUUAGCUCUGAAGACAAGUAUCAGACUUCUAUAAUUAGUUUCGGAACAUGAAGCAUUCAUACUCCGAAACUGGGGGGCCUGUGUUGACACCGGAUUUUGACCAAUCCUAUAAAUUUAAAGUACGAGAUAAUCAGAGUCACGUACAACAAUAAGAAGCAAGCAUGCAUGCACAUGGGCACGGAGUCCAAAUCGGCUUCAUUGGAUUGAUCGGCAAGGAGAGGCAAGGAUGAUAUAAAGGAAAGACCAGCACGUAUGGAUAAAAAUGAUUAGAAUAUACAACAUGGAUUCUGGUGCACUUUGCAUGCCAUGCGUGGGAGGCUUCCAGAAUAAUUAUGCAUGCCGAUCUGUGCAUGUACGGGAGGUUGUACGGGAGGUUGUUUCAUAGAAUAAAAUAUUUUAGAGAUAGAGUUGGGUUAGUUAGAGAUAGAGUUUUUUAUUAGAAAAGAUUGUGUACGUGACUUGCCUUGUGCGUGGUUAGAUGCCAAUUAUGUAACGUCCGCCCUAUAAAUAUAAAGGGACGUGGCCAUUGUAAAGAAUCAUCACACGAUCAAUAAUACAACAUAUUUACCUUUACCUUUCGGCUUCACGCCAUUGCCCUAGGAGUAGGAGUAAUGUAGAUUCUCGACGAGUUCCUUCUAGCAAGCUGGGCUGCAUCAACCUCAAUCUCCGGCGAGCUGCAAGUUCCGUCACCAGGUGUUCUAGGCUUUAACCACCGGGCGCAUCGCUGUGGUUUCAUCUAGUUUCAUCUACCAGUUAUCGAGUAUCUUGGAUCUUUGACUUACGGCGCAUCGCUUCUGUCUCGAUCUGCGGUAUUCACCAGUUAUCCCGCCUUGAUUAAGCUUGCAUCGGCUGAUAUUUAUCUGCUCUUUCAUCUUGCCGUUCAGUUUGCUUUAAUUACCUUUAGAUCGGUUCAUCAUAGACGAUAGAUCAUUUAAUAGCCUGUUGCAUCUUAAUCUUGGUUACCCCUUCGAGUGUUGUUGGGAGUAAGUUCCAUUGUGAUUGGAUUCAUCAGCUGGCGGGGUUCAGAUUAACGUCCUGCUAAAUAUUUCUAGACUGCAACUACCGGGCGCAUCGCUGUGGUUUCACCUAAAAAUAUUGGUGGUGAUGUUAGUUUAGAUCUCAUCGGCUUGUGGCUCUAGCUAUGGUGGAGCAACAACUCAAUAGCAUCGUGUUUCCUAUCGGCCGUAUGGCUGAUGGUUAUUGUAAAUUAUAUUAAAUCGGCCCGAUCGGCCGACUCCAUCGAACUUCGAGAGAAUUAUCUCCACCUUGUCAGUUGAAUGGUCAAACUGACUGGCACGCCCGCGCACACCAUGCGCGCUGAUUUGGAUUCUGCACUAGAGUUAAGCAGAUCUCCCAGAUCCUCAUGUGGUGAUGCAGGGUCCACCACCUUCAGGAUUUUGCGUCAACACAUUUUGGCACGCCCGCGCACACCAUGCGCGCCGAUUUGAAUUCUGCACUGGAGUUAAGCAGACCUCCCAGGUCCUCGAGGUGACGGAAGCAGAUCUGAAGGACGACUAGAAGGAAGAACUGGACAAGUAUACGGAAUAGUUCCGGAAAGCUUGCCUAAAAUCGUUCAGUCGCUCCAGAAGCGGGGAAACUAUCAAGAAGACUCCUUUCCCUCCUCCCCGCUAGAUCACAAUUUCUGAGGAUUCGGACAAAAUGUCCGAUAUGAUUCAAUAGUCUAUUUAUCACGCCUUCAUCGAUCAGUCCCCGGUGCUUUCAAACAUGGUGCACAAUGCUGUUGUUAACUCCUUCGCCGGGGGGAUACCUCAAGGGUACAGGGAACCGGCAUAUUUUCAGCCGAUUCCACCGAACCAGACUUAUUCGAAUUCGGCUUCGCAGCCGAUCCAAUUUUCUGUCGGGAGUUCAGGUGCUUCCUCAUCAUCAGCUCCUAUGGGGUAUAACUCCAUUCAACUGUCUUCUGCACCGUUCCCUCCAGUUAGCCCAUUACCCUAGGGGGCACCUUCAGCCACGGCCGGCCAGAAUCAAUCGGCCAGUCAAGGAAACCCUCCAUUCCAGGCAUCUUUCCAAGCGGCCACUCGGCCGACCGUACCGCCAUACCAGCCUGUCGCUCCGGAGGUCAACAAGACAGCAGAGCUCAUGUUGUAUGAUGAAACGAGUGGUUCAUUCAGACAGCUGACCUUUACUACACAGCCGGCUUUUACUCAGAUACCAACCGCUUUCAAUCAGCCUCCGUUCAUUCCGCCUCCGGUUUACCAGCACGUGCCAAUACCUCAGCCAACAGUUUACCAGCAACAGCCAGACUGGUCAGCUCGUAUUGCGGAGGUGAUGCAAGAACAAUUCGGCUUAAAGCCGAAGGUACAGACUUACACCUACAAAACACCAUACCUAUCUACAUAUGACCUAUUGCCGUUUCCCCAUCAGUAUAAAGUGCCUGACUUCACUAAGUUUUCGGGGAUGGAUGACACUUCGACUGUGGAACACGUGAACAGAUUCAUCAUCCAAUGCGGAGAGGCAGCUACGCAGGAUGCUCUACGGGUACGGUUGUUCUCUUCAUCUCUGUCUGGUUCGGUCUUUCAGUGGUUCACGACAUUGCCGCCAAACUCGAUUAUCACAUGGGCCGAUUUAGAAAGACAGUUCCACAAGUACUUCUACGCCGGGGUGCAUGAGAUGAAGCUGUCCGAUUUAACCAGCCUCAGGCAAAGGAGUGACGAGCCGAUAUCCUCGUAUAUACAGAGGUUUCGGGAAAUCAGAAACAAGUGCUACUCCCUGGCUUUAAACGACGCGCAGUUGGCCGAUAUAGCUUUUCAAGGCCUUCUGCCCCACAUCAAAGAAAGAUACGCCUCACAGGAGUUCGAGAGUUUGAGCCAGAUUGUCCACCGAUUGUCUGGACAGGAGGUACGUUCCUUCGGUCCACGGAGGAAUUUCCAGAAGAAGGUGGCGUUCCUGGAAGAAUUAGAGGAUGAGGAAGAUGUUGAAGUCGGACUUGCAGAAUGGAUCAAGGGGAAAAAACCGAUAUCAUGCCCAUUCGGCAAAAAGGAGCCGGAGGUGUUCGGCUUUGACACGACCAAGGCCGAUAAAAUCUUCGAUCUUCUCCUCCAGGAAGGACAGAUUAAACUCUCACAGUACCAUACAAUACCUUCUGCCGAACAACUAAAAAAGAUGAAGUAUUGCAAGUGGCACAAUGCCACAUCCCAUGAUACCAAUGAGUGCAAGAUCUUCAGGCAGCAGAUACAGUCGGCCAUUGAGCAAGGCAGACUUAAGUUUGAAGUGCCAGCAAAAUCGGCCAAGCCAAUGAAGAUCGACCAGCACCCUUCCCCACCAACAUGGUUGAUACGGGGAAGAAUUCACUCCAAACAAAAGUGCUGACCUCUGAAUCAGCCAAAAAGAGUGGUGCCGUCGACCCUAGAAAUCAAGUUACGUCUGAAGAUGUCAAGGGGAAGCGGCGGAUGGAGGACGACGAUGGCGACUCAGAAGAACCGCGUAUUACUUCCCAGUUCCUGCUCCAAAAGUACCAACGUCAGCAUGAACGCUCAAGGUCCAGGGAAGAGAUGAUGUCACGGCACGAAGAUCACUGGAUGUGCCCGUUUUUCAUCCACUGUUGGGAAAACAACUUCAGGCUGCCUUCGGCCGAUAAUUGCCCGGAAUGCAACGGACCAUAUCGUGACAAUCGACCAUUCAACAGGUCUCGCUCCAGAGACGGAAGACCGGAACCGAUCAGCAGGAAUUGGCGCAGUCAAGAUGAUCAGCGCCCUCCCGUGCGUGAUCGGCUGGGGGGCAGAGGUGACCGGUAUGAUCGGUCAGAAGAUAGACGCCAUGACAAGCAGGGGGGCAGGACUGAUCGGCAUGACCGGUCAGAGAACACGGCCAACGUUCACAGCCGGCUCGAAGAGAUGGCCGAUGCUCGGGUAACAGAUGAAAACCCGUUAGGACGCGAACCAAAGUGGGAACGCGCCAAGUCAGGAGGAAGGCCAAUAAAUCCCAGGUGGUGCCCCGAUGGAUUGACCAAGUCUCAAAAACGGAGAAUCCAACGCCUCCACCAAUGGGAACAGCAAGAAGAGGAACAACAGAGCACCGACGAGAGAAGAAAGGAAAUGAAAAACUAAAGCCAAACUGGUACUAUCUGGAGGAAGUGCCGAGGCCGGUAUUUAUAAAGAAAAGAUGCGUGGAAAUUUGGUAAGGCUACGUCCCAUCGGAAAUAAGAGAGGCAAUAAAUAGAAGGGGCGUCACGAAGGACGGUCAAAGUAGAUAGUAAAUGUUCAUACAAAACAGUCAGUGUUUUACAGGUUACCCAGAAGGGUAUCGAUAGCCGUGAUUGCCCGACGCCGGAUCUGAUCGGCAGAGUCCAGAACCCGUUGGUCGUCAUCCGCCGAUCCGGGGACUUCUGAUGCGCUGCGGUGAAGUUUCAGGGCCUCGUGGGCAAAGCGCUGCCUCUCCCGUGUCAAAUCGGCAAUGACAGAAGGGAGCUCUUGAAGCCUCAUCUCUUCGGCACUGAUCGCCUUGGUUACUUGCUCCAUUUCCUUGGCGAGUUCUGCCCUCCGACGCUUGAGGCGGUCUAUCUCACCGAUAAUCCCCGGGCGGGAAUCCUCCAGGAAAUGAAUUCGCCGAUGCGCCUCUUGAGCUUGACGUUUGAACGCGCCCUCCUCUUCACGAGUCUUGGCCAGUUUGGCGCGAUCGGCCAUGUGACGAAGGGCCUUGAAGACCGGGAUCUUCAUAGACUCGAUGAAGGCUGCCGGCGCAAAUGCCUCUUCUGCCUCCUCUGGUACUCGUCCGCUGAUGUCACUAAAGAGCUGCCGAAUCGACGAAGCAUCUUCUACUAGUUGACCGAUGUCCCCUUGAAGGAGGGAUCGGAUACUGGCAAGUUUGGCUCGGACGUCAUCAGGAACGGAGCUCAAGGUAACUUGGCGAGAAGCAACUUCUUCGUCGUCGGAGAGGGCGACCGCAAAAGAAAAGAGGCUGUUGUCGGGGGUGUCUUGUUCCUGGAGAUGAUAAGAAGGAAGAAUAAAUCGGCUGGGAGUAAAAGCAAAUCGGCUGAGUAAAAGCCAGAACAUAACUUACCGCUUUGAAGCGAAUUUCUUCAUGUUGCACUUGGGAAGCCGACAUGCCUUGCUCAGGGGCCUGCACCAUGGGUUCGUCAGAUGAAGAAGAUUCCACAACGAUCGGCGCGCUGCUCGGACUAGCUCCCUGAGAAAAGAUGGGUGGUUGAGGAGCGCUUGGUAUGCUGAUGGCCUGUGUCAGAGGAUUGAAUAAGUACAUUAUGCAAAUACCAAAGGAAAUCGGUAAGAUAAUACUAUACCUUAAUGGAUGGAAGCGGGGGUGCGCCGAUGGCCGGUUGGGUUGCUGCCGAUUGUUGUAUUUCCAUAGGAGUGCUCUGUGCAGUCUAAAGAUAAGAAGGGUUAAUAUCAGAACAACAAUCGGAAGCAAGAAAACUUAGGUUUACCUGAACGGCCUCCAAUAACAAUGACGCAGCGGCUGCUCCAGCUUGUGCAACGGCUUGGGUAUCAACAUCUUGGAUGACCUGAGAAGGUGGUGCAGCCGGAGUCUCUGCCGAUACAAGCACAGGAGGAUCCGCCGAUUCUAUACGAGCUCGGACUCGGCGACUGGUCUUCUUGGUGGUCCUCUUCUGGACUUGUUUCGAUUGGCCAGCAAUCACGUCCACGGACGGAGCAUCAUAGCCGAUAAGAGGGUAAGUGGUGUAUGGGUGGCUCUCUAUUAGCCGUCCGCUGCGGCUGUGUGUUGGAGGAGUUCGAUUCUCGGCCUGAAGAGAUAGAAAAAUCAUUAAUGCCCAGUCACGUUAAGAGGAGUUAAAAUCGGCUAAGUAAAGUACCUCGGCGUUCGGGUCGAUGUUGGUGGGGUCCAGAAGGUUGUAGUAUGCCGAUGCCGAGUUGCAGAAAAGAAAUUGCUUCCAAUCGGCCCACCAGAGUUUGAACGGCUGGACAGCAAAGGGAGCUACUAGCCUGUCGUUCAGGUCAAUGGUACUGGAGUCCGGAAUUGCGGUCUCGUAACCAACUGUAAUCCAGACCAGAUGUGAGCUCAUCUCUAAAUUUAAUUCGGCCAGCAAAAUACACUUGAAUCGGCAGCUGACCCAUGCCGAAUUGACGUGCUGCAACGGAAGGGUUGUAGAAUUCAUACGUGGGGGCGUCCUUCCCCGAGAAGAAGUUGGCCAACAGGAGUCCUGGUUUGAUUAAUUCGUCAUAAAGCUCUUCAUCAAAUCGGCCAGAAGCCGAAUCGAAGCAAGUUGGGAGUUCAAAGACCGGGUCGUCUCGCUGAUACGGAAACCAAAUGGUUGCAUCUUCACUGAAGCCAUUAUAGAAGCAUCGAAAGUACUCGGCUACCUUUGUAGCAGAAUACAUGCAACCUGGGAAAGCUGAUGCCGCUUCACCAAAGGACAUGCAUCGGCGACGUUCGGUUGGGUCUUCUGCCGAUUCGAUGUUGGGGAACAUCAUGCGAUCCACCGGCUGCUGAGUGAUUCUGCUAAUAUAAAGGUUCAACCACAAGUUCAUGAACCACCAGGGCCCGCCAGCAGAUGUUUCCCAAGAGGGACAUGGUUUCCUCUGGACAGUGCUUCAGCUAAGGCUUGGGUAUUGGUUGUUGGGCCGGCGGCUCUUCCGGAAAAGAAGUGUUUUUCUAGCCACAUCAUCUAGAAAGCCGUGUGCUCCCUAUUCUCAACAGUCCCGGUCCUCUUAUUGCUUCUGAUAAAACCCUUCCACCCGCCGAUUCCUUUUGUGUCCAGUCGAUGUGAUGUUGCGGCUAGAAGGUGGUAGGGUGUGUCUGGGGAAGAUAUGUCAAGGCCGGUCAACAGGACCACAUCAGCCAGUGUUGGGGUCAUAGGACCAUGCCCAAAUAAGAAGGCAUUAAGUGCAUCAGACCAAAAAUAAGAAGUUGCCAUCACUAACGGCUCAUUUUUCUCCAUCUGGGAUAAGGAUAGGUUGAUGCACUGGCCGAUUUUGAGCUCUUCCCAUGAGACGCUUUUGGAUGCGGCUACCCGUUGGUACCACUCCCUCCAACCUGGGGUUUCAUUUGGCUAGGACCUAAAAGUACCCAGCCAGUGAUCUAAGUCCAUAUCAGACAGUUUGAAGGGUAUCCUGUGGGUUUCCAAAUUUAUAAGAUCUAUUGGAUCUGGGCUUCCCAUGCGUCUGAGACAAACAAGGCCGGGAUUUCCCGUAAGGUGAAUGGUAAUUCGGUGCCUAACUGCCUAAAAAAGGAAAGGGGAGUGUAGAAAAGUAAGAAACAGAUCUAAGGUAAAUAUAUUGCCGAUAGAAGAAGGAUUCGGUAUUUACCUCUGGAAUGAAGUUCUGAGUGAUCGGCGUAGUCGCCGGUGCAGAUGCGGGCGAUGGAGCCGCGAUGGGGAUCGCCAUUGGGAUCUCCGAUGAAGCUCCUUCUUCUGUGGAUGGAGCAACGACUGUCGCCACCACCGCCGGAGGCGCUACUUCUGGGACAUCGCGCGCGGGAGAGCUGCCGGAAGGAGCCGCCAUUGGAGGAGAAGAGGAAAAAGUAACAGGAGGUGGAGUUAGGAAGCUUCGGCGGCAAGGGAAAGAUACUGAAGGAAGGAGAAGGCGCGCGCGCUGGGAAAAGAGACGUAAGCUUGAAGAUGAAGUGUGGAGUGAAGCGCUAUUUAAAGGAUGCCUGAAGGGGGGUAAAAGUGGAAUUUUCACCGCGCCGGCGUUUCGAGUUUUUCGGGAGUAGUGGCUGUCGUGGGCGCCCGUUUCGAAAAAUUGUAAUGAUCAGCUGGAAGACCGCGAAAUGGGAGGAUAUUUUCACUGCGGCCGUUUCGGAGGGGAGGUUAUAAAGAAUUUAGAAGAAAAAGACUAUGUUUUACUCCGAAACUGGGGGGCAUGUGUUGACGCCAGAUUUUGUCACUAGUAGAAUCGGCGCCAAGAAGAGAGGGAAUCGGAGAAACACAGUUGGGAAUCGGCCAAAUGGUGCUACAGUGUGAGAUCGGCCGGUGACUUCUGUCUCGCUUCGGGUCGAAUGUACCAGAGUCCCAAUCGGUAGCCUUUUGCCGAUGAGGAAUCGACCGAUUAGGAGGAUGGGUUAAAUGAGCCUGUAUGGGCUUGGAAAAGGAUAAAAGGAUGAGGUGGAAAUCAGCCCACGAAGCGUGGAGUAACCAACUUAGCACGAAUCGUGCUUGUAGAUAUUCGUUUUCUGUUUGAAUUAGGGAUAGAAUUCUAGUCGGUUAAGAAGUUAUCUGUACGGGGCUAUAAAUAGCUACCUUUGUAAAUUUGUAAUCAUCAACCAAUCAAUACAACAUACUACUUUUUCCUCGUACUUAUUUUCAAGCAGGCGACUUCGCCAACACCUUUCUCUUUUUCACGAGUUCGUGCGGAUUGGCAGGGCUGUAUCAGUUUGAUCUCCGGCCGAUUCUGUAAGUUCCGCUUAUCGAGUAAUAUCUAAGCUUUAACUCCUGGCGUAUCGCUGUUGUUUCGUUUAGAUUUAUUCACCAUUUAUCGAUAUUUACUAGAAUCAAAGGGUUUUACCUGUUUUUUCUAGUUUUAUCACCAGUUAUCCAGCUAGGAAUCGGUAGUGUCGGCUUUCUUUAGUUUCUGCUAUCAAACUCAUCUGUUGCCGAUUAGAUCUAUUUCUAGUGUUGUUAUCAUAGCUUUGUAUCGAUUACUCUGGUAAUUUUCUGUUUACAAGGCUACAGUGAUCGGCUGUUUUAUAGCCGAUUCCUUUACUAAGGCAAAUCGGCCGAUUCGCUGACAAGCUCUCUCAAGAUCGGAAACUUAGCCGAUCGUGAUUUCUGAACCUGACACGUAUCCUUCCUUGCCAAUCAACAGGUCAGAUUGGUUGGCACGCCGCGCGAACCGCACCAGGGCAAUCACCCGAACAGGAGCUAAGCCGAUUCUCCCAGGUCGUGUGUCGGACGCUGGGAUUCGGUUGACCGAUUUCUAGCGCCAACAGUAUGCAAGUUCAACAAGUAUGGAUUUGAAAAAACCUUAUUGAAUUUGAUAAGAUAAACUAUCUAGACAAGGUAGCAGCAUUAUUAACCCACUACAAGAAUGCAUACUAUAUAUGACACAUCAAUCUCCCUCACAUUCUAGCUCAAAAUACGCCUCCAUUUUCUACUUCAUCGCAUUCUAGCAAAUAAUCUUUCCAUCUCCAAAGCAUCAAUCAAAGCAUAACUCGAGGAUGAAGUAGCAAAUCUUCACAACACUUGUGUUGGCUGAGUGAAAUUUCCAUGAAAAUGAGGGAAAAAACUUCGGGCAGCACCUCCCUUGCUUCGGCACCACCGGAGAGUAGGUGAAGCUCAGCUCUCUAUCUAUGUGCUGGACUGGCUCGGGCUAGAGGAGGAAGAAAGGCCUCUGUCUUGGUAUAUAAUGGGGAUGAGUUUUUAUCCCGGUUAAAAACUCCAACCGAGAUAAAAAGGAACACCUUUUGUCCCAGUUGAAAGUUUAGUCCCGGUUGGAAGCUGCAACCGGGACUAAACUUUUUGUCCCGGGUGGAGACUUCAACCGGGACAAAAGGUCCACCCUUUUAUCCCGGUUAAAGGCCUCCAACCGGGACAAAAGGGUCCCGCCACCGAUACCCCGAAACUAGCCGUUGCAACCAGGACUAAACGGGGGCCUUUAGUCCCGGUUGCAAAUACCAACCGGGAAUAAAUCUCCCCUCCAGUUUUUCCAACCGUGGUGCACCCCCUUUUGUCCCGGGCCAACUUUAAACCGGGACAAAAGGGGACGCAUCGAAAGUCAAUUCUGUAAAAAGCGGUCUAAGAGAUUGCUACUGUUUUCGACAAGUGCGGAUCCAUGUCCUUGGUAGCGAGAUUAAGAGAUUGCUCUGGUUUUGUUUCUCAGCCGAAGAACGAAAUUCCGAGGAAGUCUGUACCGGUGCUGUGGACAUCGUCGUCAGGACGUCGACCGUACCGUACCCGUGAGAAUCUUGUACUGCUUGUAAGUAUUCGCCACUAGACAGAGUCUUGCGCUGGUCGUCGCCCGGCGAAUAACCUACGAUCGGCGAAUAACCUGUCCGAUUCGUCCUUUAUUUUGUCCAGUUACAGUCUAUAGUACUGUAACUACAGUACAAGCUACACUACGGCAUCACAGAGACAGACUUGUUCCUUCAAAUUUAAUAUUGUUCGGUUGUGUUGACUUCUUCCCAUUGACUUGCUGGCUUGCUGCUCAAUAUCCUUUUACUUACUAGGGCGUUCCAGAAACUUGAAAUUUGUAGGUUUCAAUAUGCACGUCUAGCAUUCAAAAAUAAUAGCAAUAGUUUCUUAUUUACUUAUCUUUCAAUAUGUUAUUAAUUUGUAACAGUACACCGUAAGAAAAAUUAAUGGUUCAAAUUUAUUUUUUUAAAAGACAUUUUCAAACCUGUAAAUUUAGAAGAAAAUGGCUAAGGAAGUAUUCAUAGGGACAGUGCAGAGUCAUAGUAGCUAGAGCUAGUGUAGUACUAUCGGCAGCUAAAGAGAUGGCAACGGGCAAAAAUAUCGGCGUGCCCGCGGAUAUGAAACCCGAUGGGCAUGGAUAUGGGUCUAAAUCUGUGCCCACGGGUUUGGCAUGUGACCCUAACCCCAAUAUCAUAUAUAAACUUAGAUUACGGUUUCAUUCUAACUUUCUGAAUCCCUAUUCAUUUUCCCCUCCUCCUGCUGUGGCACUCUAACUUAGUGACUCGGUCCCUCCCGGCCUCCCCCCGCCACCCAUCUCCCCGAGACCCCGACCCAGUGCCGCCAGGCCGCUAGCGCCGCCCCUUCCCGCUGCUAGCCGCCCCCGGAUCCGUCGUCUGCCCAUCCACCCCCAUCUCCUCGAGACCUCAACCCAGUGCCACCAGACCGCUAGCGCCGCCCCUUCCUGCCGCCGGCCGCCCCUGGAUCCGUUGUCCGCCCAUCCGUCGCCGAUCACCACUCGCCACCUCAUCCGGUAGCUCACAGUGGUCCCUGCCCACGUCCCCCUUCUCCCCGACCCCGAGACCCUGACCCAGUGGCCAGUGCUGCCAUGAACCUUUCCCGUCGCCGACCGCCCCCGGAUCUGUCGUCCGCCCAUCCACUGCCGGUCGCCACCUCAUCCAGCUGCUCAUCUGCCUGCAGGUAACUCUACCACCACUCUUCUAUGUUCAGAUUUCUGAACCUCUUAUUUUCUAGCUUGAGGGUAAAUUUGACUGACUAGAAUACUAGAUCAUGUAAAUCCAUCCUAUUUUGAGUACAUCUGCAUUCGUUGACUAUAUUCUAGAUCUGCAUUGUACUUAUCUGCAUCACCUGCAUUUGUUUUGCAGUUGCCAUGGCUAUUAGCUCGCGUGUGCCGGCCUUCCAAACUUCUAGUGCUGUUGUGGCUGCUACCGGCACUGUGGGGGAUGAUGUUGUGCACAUAUCAGAUGGUGAGGAAGAAGCUCGUACUAGUACUGGUUCAAAGAGGAAGCUCACUUCAAAAGUGUGGAACGACUUUGAGAAGGUAUGUGUUGAUGGAGUGUGGAAGGCCAAAUGCAUUCAAUGCGGCAAGAAGCUUUUAGCUAUUUCAAGAAAUGGUACAACAUAUCUAAAAACCCAUAUAAAAUCUUGUAUCUACAAUAAAAAGAAGCUAGGGGAUAAAAUUCAAACUGAUUUGAGGUUUGGACCGACUGAAACUGGAGCAGUGAGUGUAGAAAACUAUGUGUUUGAUCAAGGGUAUGGUUUUCUACCCGUGGCGGGCGGUGUGCGCGAGCAUGGGUAUAUGGUCAUGGACAUUGUAUCCACGCGGAUUUUGCCCGUUGCCCAGCAGCCGCUAUGCCCUGCCGGCCGGUGAGACAGCUGUGCGGCUCGGCCUUUUGGGCCUUGUAUUUGCCCAGCUCGGUCAGUCCUGUAUUUUUUUCUUUUAUCCAUUUCUUUAUUUCCUAAUUAGAAAGUAAGAGAAAACCCCCACAAAUGGACAGCAAUAAGUUGCGCUACACAAAUAUAUAUAGAAUAUAAGCAGCUUAACACUGAUACAAGAGAGAGUACCACACUACUGUUGAAAUAAUGGGCCUAGCCCAUUAGUAAUUUCAGAAUUUCAAUUAAAUCUCAAAGGCCCAUGUGGGCAAGAGGUGGAGUGCAAAUCUUUAGUCCCACAUUGCUAGUGGAGGGGAGGGAUGACCAAGUUAAAUAUGGAAGUUGUCUCCACUCCUCCAAGCUAUGUGUGUGGGAGGGAAGAAAAGCUCCACACGUGCUCGCUCGCUCGCUCACCUCGCCGGGCGGGGCGGGGCGGGGCGGGGUGGGGCGAAGGGCGCGGGCGCGCGGCACCUGCGUGAAUGGUCCGCCGAAAUCCGGCCCCUCGCCUUGCGGGGGUGCGGCUUCCUUUUGCCGUUUUAUUUUUUGGUUACUUGGUCAUUAAGUCAGCGAGAUAUAUGGAAUCCUAACCGGUUUAGAUCACGAUCGCGACGUGAUAAUCGUGGGCUCUCCUAUAUAUGCGACCUAUCGGCCUCUACCAGAAACAGAUACAUUCGAGCUAGGGUUUUUGCCUCCUCUCGCUGCUGCGCCGCCACCGUAGUCUACUCCAUCCCGAUUGUCGGCGUGCACCGGCGAUUGGGAGAGCAGGUCUCCGGAACCGUCGUCUUCAGCGAUCCUGCACCGGGAGAGGGCGAAUAAGGUUUUUGGGAAGCGCUCUGCGCGACUGCUCGAUCGCUUCCUCCGCUUCGUCAAGUUCUUCGUCGACUCCUUCACCACGGCUCGUCCACCUCUUCGUCGCUCGGGCCUCACUCGUCGUCGCGAACAACGUCAGGCUGCUGAUCGUCGUUGCCUGUUGUAUCCAGUAGUCGUCCAGGAGCCGGUUUUCAUCAAGAAAGAAACGUACGUUCUCUUAACUCACAUCAUGUCCUCCAUACUAGCUAUUAUGAUCUGUUGCAGUCUGAUAGCACUGGAUAGUAUGGUAGAAUGUCUGAUUCUAUUUGCAAUGAUAGACUUGUCUAGAUCUUGCGUAGACAGGUCUAGUUUAAUCUGCUGCUUGUUCAUCAUAUUCAUGAUUUAUUUCUGGAUUAAGUUAAAACUAAAAGUGCUUAUAUAUCCAACAAUCCAAAAACCUUAUUGUAGGCACUUUAGUUUUAUGGCUGGAUUUCUUGAUGCACUGAGGCCAGCACCGUUUGCUGGCGUGCACUUCAAGAGGUGGCAGGUGAAAGCCACGCUAUGGCUUACUGCCAUGAAGGUGUUCUGGGUGUCCAAUGGCAAACCGGAAGGAGUUCUCGCUCCUGAAAAGGAGAAAGAAUAUUCGGAAGCCAACACAAUCUUCUUGGGCGCUGUGAUUGGUGCACUUGCAGAACAUCUGCAGGAUGUGUACCUUCAUCACACGGUCGCAAAGGAGUUGUGGGAUGAUCUGACUGCCAACUAUGGUGGCUCAGAUACUGGCACUGAACUGUACAUCAUUGAGCAAUAUCAUGACUACAAGAUGGUUGACGGAAAAUCUGUAGUCGCUCAGGCUCAUGAAUUACAGUGCAUGGUGAAGGAACUCGAUCUGCUAAAGAUUGUCGUGUCCGACAAGUUUGUGGCUGGGGGCAUUAUUGCCAAGUUACCUCCAUCCUGGAGGGAUUUCGCCACUUCUCUCAAACACAAGAGGGCAGAAAUUUCUGUUUCAGACUUGAUUGCAUCUCUUGAUGUUGAGGAGAAAGCUCGGGCUAAAGAUGGACGAUCUAAAGCUGUUGAGGGUCAGACCAGUGCCAAUAUGGUGCACCAAUCACAUCACAAUGGCAAUGGUGCUAAGGGCAAGGGCAAGAACAAUAAGCCUAAGCAGUCCACUACCUUCAAGAAGAAGAAGAACAAGGAGAACGAGGGAUGCUUCGUGUGCGGUUCUACUGACCAUUGGGCAAAGAAGUGCCCAAACCGCAAAGGAAGAAAACCUCCACAGCAGAAGUCUGUAAGCAUGGUGACCAGCGCUGGAGAUGGAAAUAGUGGGUAUGGUAAUUUACCUUCUGUUUUUUCAGUGUUUCAUUCUACCAAUACUUGGUGGCUUGAUACUGGUGCUAAUGUUCAUGUGUGUGCUGAUGCCUCCUUGUUUUCAUCUAACCAGGUCGCUCGGGAUUCCUCCGUCCUAAUGGGGAAUGGGUCACAUGCUUCUGUUCAUGGUGUUGGUACGGUAGAUCUGAAGUUUACUUCGGGAAAGAUCGUGCAACUGAAGAACGUGCAGCAUGUCCCUUCUAUCAGGAAGAAUCUAGUUAGUGGCUCCCUUUUGUGUAGGGAUGGCUUUAAGGUAGUGCUUGAGUCUAAUAAAAUUGUCGUGUCCAAGAGUGGACAAUUUAUUGGUAAAGGCUAUGAGUGCGGAGGCUUGUUCCGCUUUUCCCUUACAGAUUAUUGCAAUAAGUCAGUGAACUAUAUUUGUGAUGGUAUUAAUGAGAGUGAUGCUAGUGUUUGGCAUUCACGUUUAUGUCAUCUGAAUUUUGGUUCUAUGUCUCGACUUUCCAGCCUGUGUUUAAUUCCGAAUUUUUCCAUUGUCAAAGGUUCUAAGUGCCAUAGUUGUGUGCAAUCUAAACAACCUCGGAAACCUCACAAGGUAGCCGAGGAGAGACACUUGGCACCACUUGAACUCAUUCAUUCUGAUAUAUGCGAGAUGAAUGGUGUGUUGACCAAAGGUGGAAAAAGAUAUUUCAUGACUUUGAUAGAUGAUGCGUCUAGAUAUUGCUAUGUAUAUUUAUUGAAAACGAAAGAUGAGGCUCUUAACUACUUUAAAAUCUAUAAGGCUGAAGUUGAGAAUCAGCUUGAGAAAAAGAUCAAGAGAAUUAGGUCUGAUCGUGGUGGCGAGUAUUUCUCUAAUGAUUUCGACUUGUUCUGUGAAGAAUAUGGUAUUGUACAUGAGAGGACGCCUCCAUAUUCGCCCCAAUCAAACGGGGUUGCCGAAAGAAAGAAUCGCACUUUGACUGACUUGGUGAACGCCAUGUUAGACACCAGUGGAUUAUCUAAGGCAUGGUGGGGGGAGGCUGUAUUGACUUCAUGUCAUGUCCUGAAUAAAGUACCCAUGAAGAAUAAGGAGAAAACUCCCUAUGAAGAAUGGAUUGGAAGAAAACCAUCACUUUCAUACUUACGCACUUGGGGUUGCUUGGCCAAAGUUAGUGUGCCAAUCAACAAGAAACGUAAGUUGGGACCUAAAACUGUGGAUUGUGUCUUUUUGGGAUAUGCUCAUCAUAGCAUAGCCUAUAGAUUUUUAGUGGUUAAAUCAGAGGUGCCUGAUGUUCAUGUUAAUACCUUGAUGGAGUCUCGUGAUGUUACUUUCUUUGAGAAUAUAUUUCCUAUGAAACAAUUGCAUAGUAUGUCUAGACUAUCUUCUGAUAUGAUUGCUGAGACAACUCCUGAACCUAUUGUGCUUCCUGAUCAUGUUGAACAAACACUUGAGCCAGUUCAUGAGGAGGUUAACAGUGAAGCUCCUAAGAGGAGCAAGAGACAAAGAACUGCAAAGUCCUUUGGUGAUGAUUUCACUGUCUAUCUCGUAGAUGAUACUCCUAAGACCAUUUCAGAGGCAUUUGCAUCUCCAGAUGCAGAUGAUUGGAAAGAAGCUAUCCAUAGUGAGAUGGACUCUAUUCUUUCUAAUGGAACUUGGGAGGUUGUUGAUCGACCGUAUGGUUGUAAACCUGUGGGUUGCAAGUGGGUGUUCAAGAAGAAGCUUAGGCCUGAUGGUACUAUUGAUAAGUACAAGGCUCGACUUGUGGCUAAGGGUUAUACCCAGAAAGAAGGCGAAGAUUUCUUCGACACUUACUCACCUGUUGCGAGAUUGACCAGUAUUCGAGUAUUACUUUCCCUUGCUGCCUCACAUGGUCUUCUUGUCCAUCAGAUGGAUGUUAAGACAGCUUUCCUUAAUGGAGAGUUGGAUGAGGAAAUUUAUAUGAAUCAGCCUGAUGGAUUUGUAAUAAAGGGUCAAGAGAACAAGGUGUGUAAGUUGCUGAAAUCUUUGUAUGGCCUGAAACAAGCACCUAAGCAGUGGCAUGAGAAAUUUGAUACUACACUCAUAUCAGCAGGCUUUUCUGUCAAUGAGGCUGAUAGAUGUGUGUACUACCGCCAUGGUGGGGGUGAGGGAGUUAUAUUGUGUUUGUAUGUCGAUGACAUACUGAUAUUUGGUACAAAUCUUGACGUGAUCAAAGAGGUCAAGUUAUUUCUGUGCCAAAAUUUCGACAUGAAAGAUCUGGGAGAGGCUAAUGUAAUUCUGAAUAUCAAGUUGAUCAAAGGAGAGAAUGGGAUUACUCUCACGCAAUCUCAUUAUGUGGAAAAGGUCUUGAGCCGGUUUGGCUUUAAGGACAGUAAGCCUUCUCCCACACCUUAUGAUCCGAGCUUGAUACUUCGCAAAAACAAGAGAAUUGGUAGAGACCAAUUAAGAUACUCUCAGAUUAUUGGAUCACUUAUGUAUUUAGCCAGUGCUACUAGGCCUGACAUCUCAUAUGCUGUUUGCAAACUGAGCCGGUUUACCUCUAAUCCGGGAGAUGAUCAUUGGCGUGCGCUUGAGCGAGUCAUGCGCUAUUUAGUUGGUACUAUGGAUUACGGAAUUCACUACUCCGGGUAUCCUGCGGUGCUGGAAGGCUAUAGUGAUUCAAAUUGGAUAUCUGAUGCUGAUGAGCUGUAUGCCACAAGUGGAUACGUCUUCACUCUUGGUGGUGGUGCUGUUUCAUGGAGGUCAUCCAAACAGACUAUCUUAACGAGGUCUACAAUGGAAGCAGAACUUACAGCAUUAGAUACAGCCACAGUUGAGGCUGAUUGGCUACGUGAACUCUUGAUGGACUUGCCUAUUGUCGAGAAACCUAUGCCGGCAAUACUUAUGAAUUGUGACAAUCAAACGGUGAUUGUCAAAGUGAACAAUUCUAAGGACAAUAUGAAGUUAUCAAGACAUGUUAAGAGACGUCUGAAAUCUGUCAGGAAAAUGAGAAACUCCGGAGUAAUAUCAGUGGAUUACAUCUCAACUGAUAAGAACUUGGCAGAUCAGUUCACUAAGGGGCUGUCACGUAAUGUGAUAGACAAUGCAUCAAAGGAGAUGGGUAUGAGACCCAUAUGAGCUACACCAUGGUGGUAACCCAACCUAUGUGAUUGGAGAUUCCGUGAAGUAGGAUCUGGGAAGAACAAGCCAUGGGAUAGCAUGAGAGUAUCCUACUAACCCACUCGAGAAAUGAUGCAACACUCUCAAACCACUGCAUGGCAGGCUGGCUAGUGCCUUAAUAUAUUUUGUUGACUUUAAUUAGCAAAGAUGUUGCCCUGCAGAACAUCUUGGAAAAAUAUACCUAUAUGAGCCCGAUUGUUGUAAGGUCGCAGUCUGUGAGACUUGGGUGAUCUCUAUUAAGCUCAUGAAGAGACCAGGGGGGUACGACCUAUAUGCCCCACCCGCGGGGUAGGCUACAGGCAGCCAGGUACUAGUCCCGACUUUGAGUGAAACUUGUCCGCACAAAACUUGCAAUUCAAGGCUUUGUCCAUUGUUCAAGUUGUGGAUGAAUGUAGCUUGAAGCUCUAGGUGAGAGUUCAACUUAACAGUCCUCGCCGAAACACUAGUAUAUAAAUAGCAGUGAGAAACAGGCAAAAUCUCUGAUGGGCAUUUGAGAUCUGGUGGGGGAUUGUUGAAAUAAUGGGCCUAGCCCAUUAGUAAUUUCAGAAUUUCAAUUAAAUCUCAAAGGCCCAUGUGGGCAAGUGGUGGAGUGCAAAUCUUUAGUCCCACAUUGCUAGUGGAGGGGAGGGAUGACCAACUUAAAUAUGGAAGUUGUCUCCACUCCUCCAAGCUAUGUGUGUGGGAGGGAAGAAAAGCUCCACACGCGCGCGCUCGCUCGCCUCGCCACGCCUUGCCUAGCCGGGCGGGGCGGGGCGAAGGGCGCGGGCGCGCGGCACCUGCGUGAAUGGUCCGCCGAAAUCCGGCCCCUUGCCUUGCGGGGGCGCGGCUUCCUUUUGCCGUUUUAUUUUUUGGUUACUUGGUCAUUAAGUCAGCGAGAUAUAUGGAAUCCUAACCGGUUUAGAUCACGAUCGCGACGUGAUAAUCGUGGGCUCUCCUAUAUAUGCGACCUAUCGGCCUCUACCAGAAACAGAUACAUUCGAGCUAGGGUUUUUGCCUCCUCUCGCUGCUGCGCCGCCACCGUAGUCUACUCCAUCCCGAUUGUCGGCAUGCACCGGCGAUUGGGAGAGCAGGUCUCCGGAACCGUCGUCUUCAGCGAUCCUGCACCGGGAGAGGGCGAAUAAGGUUUUUGGGAAGCGCUCUGCGCGACUGCUCGAUCGCUUCCUCCGCUUCGUCAAGUUCUUCGUCGACUCCUUCACCACGGCUCGUCUACCUCUUCGUCGCUCGGGCCUCACUCGUCGUCGCGAACAACGUCAGGCUGCUGAUCGUUGUCGCCUGUUGUAUCCGGUAGUCGUCCAGGAGCCGGUUUUCAUCAAGAAAGAAACGUACGUUCUCUUAACUCACAUCAUGUCCUCCAUACUAGCUAUUAUGAUCUGUUGCAGUCUGAUAGCACUGGAUAGUAUGGUAGAAUGUCUGAUUCUAUUUGCAAUGAUAGACUUGUCUAGAUCUUGCGUAGACAGGUCUAGUUUAAUCUGCUGCUUGUUCAUCAUAUUCAUGAUUUAUUUCUGGAUUAAGUUAAAACUAAAAGUGCUUAUAUAUCCAACAACUACAUGCACAAUUCAUAGUACAAUCAACUCAACAAUGGUAACAGUGAAUAUACACAGGGAUAGACUAUGCUGAACUCUUGCUAUAAAGUAGUUGCUGCCUUGGUGCUGACCAUGCUCCAUGCAUGCUUAAUUAGCUUGCAACAGAACUUGAGCCUCCGCUGGCUAUUGCCUUCACUUCCUUAAGUUUCUCCACCACCUCAGCCAUUGUCGGUCUGUCAUCCACCGCGAGCCUACUGAUCCUGUCAAGGCAUUCCAUUUGAUGAUGUGAUCGGGCAUCGUCACCAGACAAGAUCUCUUCGUCGUGCAACUUCCUUCCAUGGCCCUCCUCCUUGAAGGACCUGGUGAAGUCUAUGUAGAGGCUAUUGUACCCAUACUUGGCCGGCUUCCUCGUGACAAGCUCCAAGAGCGCCCACACACCAAAGCUGUAGACGUCGCUCUUCUCCGUGAAGCGGCCAGACUUUAUGUAUAUUGGUUCUAUGUAGCUCAUGUCCCCGGACACACACCACUUGGAGUACCUGCUGGCGACGGACACGAGCUUCGCCGACUCGAAAUCAGAGACCUUGGGUGUGAGGUUAUCGUCGAGGAGGAUGUUGCCGGACUUGAUAUCGCCAUGGACGUGGUUGUGGCCACCGUGUGAGUGCAUGUAGGCAAGAGCUUCCGCUGAGCCAAUGGCACUGUCCAGGCGCACUGGCAUGGACAGAGGGAGCGUCUUGCCAGCGCCAUGGAGGACGCUGUGUAGGCUGCCUCUGGGGACAAACUCGAAGACAAGCAUGGGAACAUCUGUCUCGAGGCAGCACCCAACAAGGCGGACAAGGUUAGUAUGGCUGAUGCGGAACUGGAAGGUGAUCUCGUUAACGAACUCCUCCUGUGGAAGAACAUCGCCUUUCGCAGUGGAGCACUUAACUGCGACCUGUUGGGAGUCAUCUGUCAUCCCUAUAUAGACCUUGCCAAAGGCACCUUCUCCGAUGGAUUUUUUGUAUCCGUUUGUGAUUUUCUUCAGCUGACCCUCCGUGAAGAUGUUAAUGCCCAUGCUCUUGAGUAUGUCACCGCCGUUUCUGUCGAAAAACCUCCUGUGCUUUCGCCUCUUUACCUCAAAAAUUGCGAAAGUUGCUACGACAGCGACAACAAUUAUUACUGCAGCCAUUACAGAGGAUCUGUCGUCAGCCAUACAGUUACAUACAGACCAUUUGUUCCUUAGUUUUAUUGGCAAAUUAUCUUGUGCUAAAACUAAUAUGUUCUUUGCUUCCAUAUAUAAAUUAUGUGGCUGCUUUUUUCUUUGAAUUUCACCUAAGGAUUUAUAUAUCAUAAACGUUCCAACUCUUAAACAUAUCAAACACACUUAAAGGAAGGAUUUUAAUUCUUUUCUCUCAAAGGAAAUAAUUUUUCUUAUGGAUCCCUCAAAUAGGAACUUUGAACACAAAACCCUUUUAAUAUGUGCUGUACAAAAUAGAAAUGUAAUUGAGGAAUUGUGCGAUUAGUCCGUUGCCACGCUGCACGAGUUGAGCUGUAGUUGCGUUAUCCUUAUCUUGAGGCAUCAAUGUCGUUAAAAGGUUGAUUGAAGCGAUAGCCGUGAGUGGAGUAUUGUGCUCCUGAGCCUGGACUGCGUUGAAAGCCCGAUCAAGAUUUGUAAUAGGAAUAUUGGUAGCCAUCGACUGUCGUCGCUGAGCUCUAGUGGCAUUGCGCGCCCUUCGUUGGUUGCGCUGUUCGGAAGUUUCAUUGUGAGGGGCGUCAGCUGUAGACUCAUCUUCAGAGAUGUAGUCGACUUGUGCUAAUCGCCUGGGUAGUAGCUUCCGGAGCUUGAUGUUGCAAUUUCUGUGUAACUUUCUUCGCGGUUGGAAGUGAGUGGAACACCUUCUUGAAAUGGUAAGUUGUCUAUAUGGGUGACAAGGCGUGAGUCGUAGUCACGGUCGAGAAGAGAUGGUCGCAAUCCCGGGCAGUGGACGAAUCUGCCUUGAGAUGUCGAAGUUAUUACCAACCCUUGGGCUGGACCAGAUAAUGAUAUCUCUGGUGAGUAGGAUGAGUCGGAGUCAACAUCUUCAUGCCCGAGGUCGACUCGGGUUUGAGCAAGAAAACCUUGGUAGACUUUUGUCGCGUUGCGGAGUCCGUGCGGGAACCGCUUUGAAGUCGAAACUGAUUUGGAUGCUGACUGGGGCCGCCGAAUCCAAAGCGAGUCCGACCCUGAGUCCAGGGGUCGGCUGAGCCCAACCCUUUGGAGGAGUAGCUCCGCCUCGCCUGACCCUGAGUGGAAUUCCGCCUUGCCUGACCCCAAGUCCUGGGGUCGGGAGUGCCGGACCCUUUGGAGGAGUAGUUCCACCUCGCCCGACCCCGAGUGUUGGGGUCGGGAGACCCUGACCCCUGAGCGAGACUCCGCCUCACCCGACCCCGAGUCCUGGGGUCGGGAGUGCCUGACCCCCGAGCGAAACGUUGGAGUAGUCCGAGGCGAAGUCAAAUCCGACGCGUAGUCGAACUCGAACUUGUUGACUUUGAAAUCUUGAUUUUUUCUAGUUAGGUUUUCUGGUUUCUUCUCCUGAGUGUCGACGAUCUGGCGCCGGAACGAUCCCGAGCCUUCGGCGACACAGAACAAGGAUCCAAAAACGAAGGUGGCGCCGGCUUCGAUGAAGAAGACGGGCCUGAUGAUGACUUUCACCAUUGAGUUCGCGCUGAGAAACUCGACGAGUCCCCCUACCUGGCGCGCCAGCUGUCGGUGUUUUAGAUCGGCAACCCGCCUAGGGGUACCCUAGGUGGUCUUUUAAGCGGUAAGGGUCGUCGAGAAUGAAGGAAUCAAUGGUGACGCAAGGAACACGAUUUAGACAGGUUCGGGCCGCUAGAUCGCGUAAUACCCUACGUCCUGUGUGUUGGUUUGUAUUGAUCUUGGGGAUUGAUGAAUUGGAGUUGUUCUGAGGGGGGUCCCUGCCCGGCCUUAUAUACGCAGAAGGGCAGGGUUACAAGUCUGAGUCCUAGUCGGGUACUAUUACAGAGUUCUACUCGGUAUUGGCCCGAGUAGUUUUCCAUAAACAUACAAGACUAGUCCGAGAAGGAUACGCCUAUCCUUGUUCUGAUCUUGUCCGAGUACGUCCCUUAGUGGGCCAUCCAAGGCCUACUCGUGGGCUUGGGGAGUAUGCCCGACACGAAGGUAGCAAAUUAAUAUUUCUUUUUUAUAAAUACGCUAUCAUGGAUAUCUAUCAGUGUUAGGAAAAAACGAGUAACAUUAAAAAGAAGUAACCAGUGUUAGAUCAACAUGCAUACUUGGUACUAUGCAACUAUUCAAAUUAAAGUUCUUGCUGUUUCUCAAAACCAGCAAUGAGAUCAAAAUACCAACUGAAGAGAUUUUUCAUCUCCAAAAAGAACAAGUGCAAUCCUAUAUCAUUAAGUAAAGAGUGAAUGCUCACCUAAUAUUGAUAUUUCCCAUACUGGAAAUAUGGGCUCGCAUCCUUUCUCACUUUUACCAUCUCCAUUUAGACCAAAUUUGCAUUUGCACUUGUAACUACCCUGUGUAUCAUGGCAUGUGCUACCACUGUAACAAGGAUAUAAUUUUUCAUACUUCUCAGGAUUUUAUUUCCGAAGAUCGCACUCGUUAAUAUAUAUCUGUGUCAAAGAUAUAUGGGAUAGCCAAAUAUUUAGUUAGGAAAAUUGCAUUUUUGCCGAGCUCGAACACUAAUUGCAAAUAACUUGCCAUUAAAAAACAUAAACAGCAAAUAUAUUGUUGGAAUUAUUGAUGAUAAUCCAUUCCAUUUUGCACAACAUUUUCCAGUGUACUAAAAUGGCAUUUAGGAAAAAUCAACAACAAUAUUAGGGAAAAGCACAGGGACAUGAAGACUAAAACUUUCAUAUCUUUCUUUGUCUUGUAGGCUUGCUCUUGUAGAGCUUUCCAAGUUAGUUAGCUGGAAGCGUUAUAACCAUGCAUUAGCUUUCAUAGGUCCCAUGUCUUCAUGCGUACUACUUAAUAGAAAUGUUAAGGAAAACAUAUUAUGGGGUACGGAACCAAUGACAUCCAAGAACCAACAGAUAAUUGUGGAUCCUUGUUUCAAGUUGCAAAAGAAAAGGCUAAGUAAAAGCAUGAGAGGCUUAUCCUUUGCUGCAGCAAGAAGAACCUAUAUAUGCCCAGAGUGUGAUGGCAUAGGCCUCGAUUUUUGCGGCAAUAUAUCAGGGAAAUUAUAUGUCCUCAUCCAUUUUUAUGUGAUUACUUUUCUAAUUGUAAAUUGGCCUUAACUCCAUGCCCAGAUUGUGGUGGCAUGAGUGGCCAACCUAGGAGACACUGGAUUAAAUACAAUUAAAGCUUCUGAUAAAUACCUGGCGAGCAAGGAAGGGGAAAGGAAAGAUGAAUUUGAUAUGUCAUGGAGCCUUAGUCAUGUCUGCUCGUAUAUUAUGUAAUCUCAUCUUUCGGAUGUUAGGAUGAAUAAGGCUGUGAACCUUAAAUUAGUUAUUAUGUCAUAUUUUUCUGUGUUAUCGGGUGGAACACAUGAUAUGGACUGUGUCUUCUGUGAACCUUCAAAUUUGCACAUUAUCAUGUUGGAAAAUAUUCAUUGUUAUAUUUUUUUUCUUGUGAUUUGCAUUACGCACGUUUUUUUGGUUCCUGUCACUACCUUUUUUACCCAAGUAGCGCACCUGUCAUGCCAAAAAAAAUGUCUAUUUUUUCAACUUUGUCAAGUGUCAAUGGAAAAUGUAGCUAUAUCCUUCUUUUCAAGAAAAAUGUCAAAAGCAUCAGUCACGUGGCAGGCAUCCCGGGUUUGGUCUGAUUUAAGUGGAGGCUAUGCUAUUAUGGUUUUUUAACAAGGUUCACAAGGUUUGAAGAGAAGUCCAAAGAAAAAUUCAAAAAGGAAUAUUGUUUUUGCUACUCAGUUACGCCAUAUAUAUAUCCGUGGUCGUGCAUAUAUAGUGAUUCAUAAAGUUAUAUAUCGCUUAGGUCCUAAGCAUCCAAUGAUUAUGAAUACAGAUACUUAAUGUUUAGUGAUGUCAGUAUGGCAAGACACCUGCAUUACGGCAAUUUAAUGGCCAUAUACCAUUCAAGAAAAGAAUAGUGAACCACCAACAAGUUAUGUCCCUCCAGAAGCAGGAGAAACAUGUUUUGUCCGUUCCAUCUACAGCUAUAUGCUGCCAUGGAUUCUGGGAAGUGCUCAUAUAUGAGGAAGAUCUUUUUAUAGAUUUUGAUUAUAAUGGGUUAUUUGUUUCAACUAGCCAUUAUGAAGAGCGGCUUAGAUCAUCGAUGGUGAACUCUGAGAUGCUGAAAGUUGAGGGUAUAAAAGCUGAAACAAAUAGAGCCUAAGUUUAAUAUGCUACAACGACGGAUGACAUGCAUGGUGCCGUUGCAUAUAUGCUGAGUUUUCCGUAGCUAGCAGAGUGAUCAAUGCAAACGAUUCUUUCGUACUUAAAUUUGACUCACAGCAAAGGGUUAACCAUUUGCCACUUUUUUAAAAAAUAAUUAAACUAGGCAUCCCAUUGAAAUAAACUCACUUGUACAUCCUUUGUCACCGGUGACGUAGGGAUUGCCCAUGUAUCCCUCAGAGCAAUUACAGAGGUACCCAGGCCCCUAUGUGGCAUUGAUACAGAAGCUGUUUCUGCUGACGCAAGCGGGAGCUGUGGGCUUAGCCGACGCCUCACCAUUGUUGGGUGGGGGCAUCGUGCUGAGAUAGGAAACCUAUAUCGUGCUGAGGUUGCCCGAGAUGGGCAUCUGGCAGCAGCCGAGCCCCGUGCACUGGGCGCGCCGUCGGUAGCCGCGCCCUUUAUGCUUUCGCAGUAGGUGACGCAGCCGGUGUAGUAGCUCCUGCUCUGCAGGAGCGCCACCGUGUUGCACUCGAUGGCCGUGAACUUGUUGCUCCUCGCGGAGAUCAUGAACGGAUUGGCAAGUAUCCACGGCCCCGCAUAGGAAGUGAAGAUGCUUGGCGAGUUCAUGUUGUAGCACAUGUACGAUGGGUAGGUAACGACGCGUAUCUCGCCGGUCUCCGGCGAGAUGCUGAUGACCUCGGCGUUACUCAUGUAUAAUCUCGGAGGACUAAAGCUAUUGUUGCAAGUGAGCUUGUACGGACUAAAGCCCGGCCGGCCACAGCCACCGCCGAUGCCAAAAGGAUAGGGAAUAUCUAUGUUGCCGGCAUCGAGGAGUUGGGUGCAGCCGCAACCAGAUGGGAAGUUACUAGGGCAGGAACAAGGAGAUGCCACAGUAGAACUCGAAGAGGCGCCAUGGCUGCUGCUGGAUUAUGGGUGCUUAGAUGCUAACAACUAGACAGUGAAGAUGCUGUAGCAUUAUUAGCUUCAUGAUUUCCUAAGCGGCCGCAUCCAGGGUCAUAUAUAGGCGGGGACGACGACCGGGAUGGAUUGAUGAUAUGAUAAUCAUUUCGUUUCUUAACAUUCUGUGAUGUCAUUAGCCGAUAAUAUAUGCAUUCUGAUGGUCGUUCCUACUUGAACUUAUCUCAUUCGGUAAGUUAUAUAUUGCUCGUCAUAAAUUUAUAAAGAGACAUUUCAAAAUCUCAAGCAUGACGUUCCUAGCUAUAUAUACAAAGACAAAUUCCUUGCUUCCAACUUCAGCCAACUGCGGACUCAUCUCAUUCCUAAUGAUGUCACGACUAUCAGUAAGGUACGUGCAUCUAAUCUUUAUAACAUACCACUUGCCCUGUUAAUAUGUGAUAAUACAGAUCAGCAUCCAACAUGUGUUUUUAAGCAGCUGACAGUAAAGCACUACCCAACAGCCGACAGAACUAAUCAUUUUCACUCCUUCUUGACAGCGUGAAAAGAUUUUUUUUUUAAGUGCGAAUAUUCAAGCUGAGGAAACUAUGAGUAAUUAUUUUCCUUUUGUAUUUAAUUUUUUUUCCUAAGUUCAGCUUGGCCAUGAGAUCUUGUGUAAACUGACAACAGGUUUCCACUCCAACACCUCUAGCCAGGAUUUCAGAAUUUUUGAAAAAUUCUAGACCUGUAUGAAAAUGGAUUUUGAGUAUUUGUACCAUGCAUUUUCAAAGGAUAUGUGCCCACAGAAGAACAGGACACAUAUGGACAAAUUACAAAAAUGAUAGGAAAAAACAUGAAAACUAUGAUGCCUUAAGGACGACCAAAUUGGGGUAAAUGCUAUCCUGGUAUUUUAAGUUCUCCAAGAAGUCGCACUUAGCCAAAUUAUCCGUUUGUUCUCUGCAGUAUUCGCAAGAAUACCAGCAGCAUUAUAUGUUUAUUUCAGCUAUAAUUUUUUUUCUUGCAACUUGUAAGUAAAAGGAUACUGAUUUGUGAAGUCAGCAGAAAUUAUUUGUGGAGCAUUGGUUGACUUUUGGAGCCCACGGCCAGCACGUGGCUAGUUUUUGCCGAGUCUUUUUCGUCUAGUUUGCCGAGUGUUUUUUCAGCACUCGACAAAGAGUUUGUUUGCCGAGUGUCUAGAUUUUGCCGAGUGUUUUUUCAGCACUCGACAAAGAGUUUGUUUUUUCAGCACUCGGCAAACCCCUAGCAUCCAGCAAAUCUACUAUUUCUGGUAGUGCUAGCUAGCAAGUUGUGGAGGGCUGCACUUGGCCAUGUGAUCCUGGAGAAGCCGCACUUGGCCAUGUGAUCCGUUUGUUCUAGAUAGUUUGUUAUCCACACCAUUCAGAAGAUGCCUGCAUUAUUAUGUAUUUAUUUCAUUUUUAACUUUUGUUGCAACUUGUAUUAGAAGACAAUUUUUUAGGUCAACGGAACUUAUUUGUAGAGCAUUGGUUGACUUUUGGAGCACACGUCCUAGCUAGCAAAUUGUCGAUGAUGGUUGUAUAUAUCGAUACCGACUGUCUUGCUUGCUCGUGCACACCAAAUUAAAGGGAAUGAGAUGAGCACAGACAAGAUAUCCUAAAAGAUUUUUGUACAUCCUAAUAAACUAAUUAAAAGGUGGGUAUGUAAAUCAAUUCAAUUAAUCACAGGUGACAUAUAUAUGAUGGUGUCAGUGCCACUCAUACAUUGCUAGCUAGCCGUCACUGGCCAAUACAUCACUAGAUAGCCGUCACCAACACAUAUGUAUAUAUAUGCAUUAUUCAAAAGAAGUAGAAAUUUUCAAAUUUCAACCAGCAAUUAGAUAAUUUCGACUCUAAGUAUGCAUAUGUCAACUGCAUAACAAUUCUGCAUCUUUUCUCUAUCUCUACUAAUACCCAAGAUUUUAGUUGGGGCAGAACUUACCUUGACCUUGGGCCAUGCCGGCCGACUUCAGUUGCCGACUCCAAUCCCGCUUCAUGAGCUUGCCCCCUAAGCUGGGUCUCUUGCCUACCCGGCCUCCCUCUCCCUGCUAUCUCAAGGCUUUGGUUAGGCGUGGCUAGGGUUCUUCGUGCCGUCAGCAUCGGGAGACACAAGCAGAAGUCGGAGGGAUGAGAAGAAAUAGUUUAUUGAUCAUUUGGGCAUAUUGGGCUGCCGGCUAUCACCUAUUGGGAAAUUACUGGGCUGCAACAUACGAUCUUUGAUGGAAUUUUUUAUUUUUUUUAUUUUUUUACGAUUUUGCAUAAAUAAAUAGUUGAACAAAAUAUUUACAGAAAUAGACCUAUGCUGCCACUUGAAACGGCGGCAAAUGUGUACCAACGGUUGAGACGGCGGUAAGGGAAGCUACCGCCGGGUGGAACGGCGGUAGCUCCCCGGAUACCGCUUACCGCCCCUCCCCCAUCCGGCGGGCUGCACAUGGAAUCAGGGGUGCGCGGGCUGAGACACUACCGCCAGCUCAUUCGACGGAAGCAGGCCCCACCAUUUGAAAUGGUGGAAGCGGGAAGCUUCCGCCAAUUGAGGCGGCGGUAGCUCCCCCCAUGUAAAUAGUUGCGCGGCCACCUCGGGCCAGCGCCCGUUUCAUUUGCGCCGGCGCGCGAGAGCCAGAGCGAGAGCUAGCUAGAGCGCUAGCCAGCGAGAGAAGAGGAAGGGAGGGAGGGAGAGAAUAAGGAAGGGACGGAGGGAGGAGGGGAGGGGAGGGGAGGGGAGAUUGAAGGCCUGCUUGUCGCUUCCUUAGAGGUAUUUUUUCUAAUCCCCUAGUUUAGUUGGUUUAGUUAGUGUAGUGGAUAGAUGUAGUAGUUAGUUUAGUAGAUCUGGGACAUAGAAAAAUGUAGGUUAGUUAGUCUAGUGGAUUUGAGACAUACGAAAAUGUGGCUUAGUCAGUUUAGUUGAUUUAGCUGAGGUAUUUAGUUGACUAGUAAAAUUAGUUUCUUGAUUUAUGUACAUCAAUUGCAGAUGAAUAUUAUUUUGCAAUACUAGGGUUCUAUUAUGUACAAGUAUCCAGAAUGUAGUUGUUUCAGGGGUAGUUGGAAUUAUUAGAUUUAGUUAGAAUUUUUGUUGUGUCGUUGGAGUUAACUGAUUUAAGCUAUUGAGAGUAAUUUCUAGUGUUCGUGUCAUUGUCUAUUGGCAAGCAUAUCAGAAUGUUUAUAUUUCCAAGUGCUCUAUGGUCUGGGGAAGGUUAGAUAUGAUCCAGAAGGGGUAGAAUUGAGUGGAUUUUAGUCGUUUUGCAAGUAUUUACUAAGAGCAAGAGAGAGGACUUGGGGAGGCAUAUGCAAGUGUCUUUGUAAGGCUUUUGAUCUUGAUAGACAUCAAGUGGAUCUGUCUGUUAGGACUGUAGUGAGGAGACAAUCUGAUAUAAACUUUUGGGAGUUGAUCCUGCUUGAAGAAAUCUAGAACUACCAGGCUUAUGUAAAUUGUUGCACUAAGUGCGGUUUACCGCUCAUAUUGUAGGUUCAAGUGUUCACGAAGGUUGGGUGUAGCAAUAAGAUGGAAAAAUAAGUCGGAGGUGCUGAAGUUGAAGUUGAGGAAGGUGUGGAGAAAAACAAGUCGGAGGUGCUGAAGUUGAAGUUGAGGAAGGUAUGGAGAGUACUGAUGGGCAAAAUGAAGAAGAUGGUGAAGAUGGAGCAGAAGAGGGGGAUGCAGAGGAUGAAUUGCAACUCGUGAGCCAAACAGGGAGGCUGAUGGGGGGAAGAGAAAGAGGCCAAUGGUGCCAUGGAUGAUGACUCGUUGGAUGAUGAAGAUGCUUACCCUAUAUCGUGAAACUGGUCAACUUAUGACCAUUCCGCCCUACAGGUCAAUGUAGAGGAAAAUAUCCCUUGGGAGUAUAGGGAGAAUGAGGUUUGCUUUGGUGCUUUGUACCCUAGUGGGGAUGAGGUUGAUGAGGAUAUCGCCAUGCUGAUACACACGAGCCUUGGUCUUCCUCAAGUUACAAGUCCUCACCAACUUGGUCGUCGUGUUUGGUUUGGAAUCAGCCGACUACUCUGGACAAAAUUGGCGAUAUCUCCUUCAUACGACAUCGAAACGAGGUGUUCUUUGAUGCGUCGGAAAGAAGACAACAAAACCUUUCGUUUGGUUCAAGUCCUAGCUCCAGAAGUGUCGUGGAUCAUUCUGUGUGACCAUAACAAGGUGCUAUUUCACCAGUUUUGUAUCGUGUUGGGCCUUAAGCCCAAAUUGUGGGUGCCUCCUUCCUAGUCGCCUCCAACCCUAGCUUGCCCCUUUUUGAUAUAAACUCAGUAGCCACCAUCUCAGAAACUUGGGUUUUGUUUAGUUCUAGUUUUCCAUUGAGAAACUGAGAUUGAUUCAUUGUAACUGUGGCGACAAGUCCUUUUAUAGUGAUCUAGGGCCCUGCUCUUGUUCUCCUCGACUGUGUCGAUUAGUCCUUUUGAAUUGAGAGCUUGAACCCAUAUUUAUCUUAGCUUCAGACAUAUUUGCAAUUUCAGAUUGCGUGUUUAUACUUUCUUGCUUGUGUUCUUCGAUUUGCUUGUAGGGAAAGCCUUAUUGGCAAGGUCAAUCGAGUUAUUUUUGGUUGAUAACAAAUGGAGCAGUGGUGUAGCGGUUGCAAGGAUUCAAAUUGUGUCUAAUUAGAAGCCUGGAUCAUCAAUGUCGAGUUCUCCAUCAAUCAAAUUUCCCAUACCUAUCGGAAGAUCGGGCCAGUCUUACAUCAGAGGUGAAGGCAGCUGGGAAGCGAUGGUCCACUUUAUCUUUGCAGCGGUAGUUCAUUGUGGUGAAGAGCAACCUGAUAGUGUAUGAUGUCUGUUGUGUGAGAAGCAAUUGCCCAUUUAGGGUGCACGCAUACAAGGGGAAGUGGAAGGAUUACUGGAAGGUGACUAGAGUGGUUGAGCACCAAUGCUUUCUGGAUGAAUUGGAAGGAACACACUGCAACCUCGUAGCUGAUUUUGUUGCUCAAUACAUGUAUCCUCAGAUAGUGGAGAAUCCCAGCUUCAAGCCCAAGUCGUUUGUUUGUGCCAUAAAGGAGAGUCUCAAGUACAAGAUUAGCUGGAGAUGAAAUGGGGUACGUACGAAGCAUCGUAUCACAACAUCCCUCUCCUGUUGCAAACCAUAUGCUAGAGGAACCCAGGAAGCUACUAUGACCUGAAAGCCUAUCCAUAUGCUUCAUUUUCAGGCAAACAGGUCUUGUAGCGGUCGUUUCUAGCCUUAGGUCCUUGCAUUGAGGCUUUUCAACGAUGUCACCCAGUCAAUUGCAUUGAUGGCACAUUUUUAACUGAAAGGUAUAAAGGCACAAUCUUGAUAGCUAUUGGAUCCGACGGUAACAAUUAGGUGUUGCUGCUGGCGAUCGCCUUUGUGGAGAAGGAGUUUGGAGAUAGUUGGUAUUGGUUCCUGGAGAGGGUGAAGCAGAUGAUUGUAAAGAAUGUGGAGGGUGUUUUUCUAAUUCAUGAUUGGCACAAAAAGGCAUUCUACAAGCAAUAGAAGACCUAUAGAAUGGAAGUGUGGAGCGUUUCAGGAUGUCGAUAUGGCCGGACUUGAAGAGUAGGUGGUGCAUGAGGCAGAUGGGGCAAACUUCCAUAGUCAAUUGAAGAACAAGACCCUUGUGAAAUUGUUCAAGUGGCUAUGCAGCCAGAAUCAGGAGAGGAAAUUCAACCUGUUGUGGAAGAAACUUGAUGACCUUCCAAAGAAACAAUGCGGAGAGCUAGCGAAGAGGGCGGUAAACAGUGAGGCAGACCACCCUGUAUCUCUGGAGGUCGUCGGACAUGAUGGUCCGAAUGCCACGUGAAGACGAGGAAGGUCCAUCAAGAGCUUCUCGUAGUGGAUUGAGCAUGAGCCGAAGGAAAAUUGGGCAUUACUUUAUGAUGAGGGAGGUGCUCGGUGGGGUAUAAUGACUAUGAACCUAGCUGAGGUUUACAACUGGAUCCUAUGUGGUGUUCAGGGAUUUCCCCUUGUUGGUAUCAUGGAAUUCUUCUUGUACUGCACCAUGAAGUACUUCAAGGAAAGGUACACGGUGGCUAAUAACUCAAUGUGCGACAAUCACAAAAUUUAUGGGUACAAGAUGAUAGAGUACAUGGAGGAGGCGAUUAAAAAGGCUCAUAAGCAUCAUGUUAAUGAAGUGGGAGCCAUGGAACAACGGUUCGAGGUUGUUUGCUGGGACAAAGGUUAGAUGGGGGGGGGGGGGGGGAAGGUGCAAGAAGCACAUACAGGAGUGAGUCAUCACCAAUGAAGGGUGUGUUUGCUCUUGCCAAAAGCCAAGGUUGCUGCACAGGCCUUAUACCCAUGUCAUUUGCUGCAUGCAUCGAGGCAGGGGACUUCAGCUUCGUUGGUUUGUGCCACAUUACUUCUUGAAGGAAACUAUAUGGGACACUUGGAGGUACGAGGUUUAUAGAUAUCAUUUACUAGGAAACUUCAUAAACAAUCCAGGUAAUGCCGCGUGCUACAUUCCUGACACUAAUCCAGAAAUGUUCCAAGGGGUCGGGUGAUGCAAGAACAGAUGCAUCUGGAACAAUAUGGAUCAAUCUAAAGCUAGUCCUGAUGUCCGCCUCUGCUCCAAGUGUCAUAGAGCCGGUCACACCUACAAGAACUACCAUGUAAUGACAUAUGGAGGUGGGAGUAGCCAAGCUAGACCAUCAAGCGGUGACUCAAGUGCUGCAUCGUGUAGUCGGGGUCAUCGUGCACGUAGCAACAAUGAUGGGCUUUUGUGAUUCAUGUGUUGUAUGUUUAUGAACUUGUUGUGUUGUAUGUUUGUAAACAUGUUGUGUUGUAUAUUUGUGAAGUCGUUGUGUUGUAGUCGAGAGACUCCUAUAAUGUUAUUCGUGACAUUAGGCGAACCUAAGUUGUAGUAGUAAGAUAUUGUAAUAUUUGCAUAUUGUGUACUAUUUCAUUUAUGUUGCCUUUGCAAUAUCUCAUGUCUAGUGCAUUUUAUUUCAUUUAUGUUUUGCCUUUGUUAUUAUUUCAGGCGUGUACUUAUAUUUUUCAUAUUGCAGGUAUGGCGCAACAGGGUCCAGGGGGGUAUCAGACCCCAGAGUUGCUCAACCCUACCUUGGACGGCCUUCACAGGUCAUUCAUGUCAGCCGUACGGGGUGCGAGCCUCGGCACACUUCGGGCACGUGUCCCACUUGCGACGAUGCUGAUCAACACCUAUUGGAUUUCGAGGUAUGUUGUACUUAGUUAAAUAAAUGGUAAGUUCUAACAUUGUGUUGUUUCAACUAAUAAAUGGUAUGAAUAGUAUAGGUUACGUGCUGUGGGCCUCCUCUCUCUAGCGAGGUUGGUUGAGGGAGACAUGGUCAAUGCCGGAGCGGUGGGGGAGGGGGGGCGAAGAAGUCAACACGCUUCCAGUUCGACAUGUCACUGCUAGCAACUCUUUUGGAACGUUGGUGGCCCAAGAUGCACACAUUCCACCCACAGUGGGUGAGAUGGCCCCGACACUUGAGGACGUCUCCCUCCUACUUGGGCUUCCUUGUGCCGGUAGGGCCUUUUCCGCGGUGGACGUGCCAGUUAGCUAGCAUGAGGAGCUAUUGGCCCGGUUUGCCCACGUUCAGUGGAACAAUCGGGUCGAGCCAUACUGGACUUUCAGCAUGACACACAGGCCCACCAAGAAGUGGCUCAUGCAGUUCGGUGUGAGUACUUAGUUACCUUACUUUUCAUAUCAUUUUCUCUAACUUUUGUGAAUUUGUCAACUAACUUUUAUUGUUGUGCGGGUUGAGUACAUGAGAGAUGACGACACCGACGACGCCACAGUUGUGCAACACUUGGAGGUGUACCUGCUGUGGCUCUUUGAGUGGAUCAUGUUCUACACAUCCUAGGGGAACUCAGUGCCUAAGCACCUACUUCCUUACACGAGGGUGAUAGCGGAGGGCCCGCUUGACAAGGUUCCGCAGUACAACUAGGGUUCAGCUGUAUUGGCGGUGACCUACAGGGGCCUUUGCACGGGCUACUGCAAGGUAGACUCAAUGGAGCCCAUGUUCAUUAACUACCCGUUGCUGCUUCAGCUGUGGUCAUACGAGCGCUUCCCGAUAGGUCGGCCAUGGAUUGACAUGGCCCCCUACCCGGAGCUGCCUUUUGACCACAAUGACGUCGACAGACCCAUGAUGGGGUUGUUGUGGUGCUUGAGGAAGGUACGGUACUACACCUACAAUUACUCAAUUCAUAUGAUGCAUGGUUUCAUGUUUCAAUUAGCGAACCUUUUCGUGAAUUUAUUUUUUGUAGGGAUCAUGAGUUGGGGUGCCGUCAAAGAAGUUGUACCCUGACUUUGUCGGUCAGUUCGACGCUCUUGUCGACACCGACAUGAGGUGGAGACCGUACACCGCAGCCAAGCUACACGCUCAUGCCCCGCAUGGGCUCCCUUCAUCUUCGAGACAUGGAGUAUUGGAUGACGACGAGGCCAGUGGUCUAUGACAUCCACGCCAAGGAGUACGUGGUGCACCAUGUGAUGAGGCAAUUCGGCCGGUACCAGCACUCCCAGUCCCUAUUACUCAUGUCGUCCCAGCCACCGUUCACAGGUACACCCUACCCAAUCAUUCUCCUCGUAAUAAAGAAUUUUCGUUGCUCUAACCCGCAGCACGAUGGUUAUGCUAGGUGGACCUAUUAGGGUUGUGGUGGGCCUGCGACCCUAUGCGGUUCGAGGAUGGUUCUGUGGAUCGAGAUGUGGUCGGCCGCUUUGGAGGAGGUGGUGCAUGAGGACCGUCCACAUGAUGAUGACGCUUUCGUAGUGUACCUGCAGUGGUUCUUACCGGGGACCAGGUCACGGGUCAUGUAUGUUCCGAGGCAGCCACAGACGGAGACAACGCUUGUGACCCAGAUGUACCCGCGUUCAAGGGAUGUCAACUUUGACAUCACGGUAAGCUUCUGCAUCCUUUCUUACUCAAAUUGCAUCAUGUGGUGUGCCUAACUUGAACUUUGUCCUUGCAAAAGUACGAUGUUAUUGCAAAGGUCGAGACUGCCCUGAGGUACAGCAUCGAGCAAGAUUACGACAUGACGUGUAGGGACCACGCGAUGCUGCACAGGAGGGCCUUGGGUUUGUGCAGUAGGUUCAUGAGGGCCGUCAGCUACCGUGGCGGUCGCGCGGAUGUCAUGCUUCCAUCACGGGCUGCCUACCCCUGUUCGGCCUCUCCAGCUCCUACUCAGUAGUUCGGUACAUCUUCUCAGCCACACGUUCAUCCGCCAUACCCUGGUGCCUCAUCUGCACCACAGGUACAUGCACCCACUCUCGGGCCAUUGACUGUCCCACCAGCACCGUGUUGGUAUGCGCCUGCCCCCGGAACAUCAACAAUUCCGCAGUAUGUGACCUCGACAUGUAUGUGUUCAUUACUUUCUCAUUUUUUAUUGACACAAUGUUGUUCAAUUCCUCGUAAUAACUUAUAAUUUCAUAACACAGUCCAGCAGAUGUACAGAGCUUACAGUGGAGCGGGACCAUCUUCAGCUCAACAGGGUAUAGAGCUAUGCCACCUCGGUGCGUCACGAAUACAUGCUUUCUAUUCCAUUUUAGAUACGAAACGAAACUCAUAAUAAUAUUUUUUUGGUUCCAUAACAGCCUACAUAGAUCGCGGAGGGUCCGAUGAUGACUCCAUCAAGGAAGAGAUCCAGAGGUCGAGCUCGGCUUGGGUCGACUCUAUUUUCAGAUACGACCCUGAUGAGCUCGGUGCUUCGCAAUUAGGUGAUGCCCCCAUCCCUCUGACACAGGGAGGCACCCAGGACUUCACGACACCACCUGCAGCCACACCAGGAUGUCCGCCUCACGAGGUUGCCCCACCGGAGCCCUUCAUGUAUGACCAGUACCAGACCAGAGGAGCGCAGCGGGUAGCUAGGCGUGGUCGUGGCCGCGGUGAGCCUCGUUUCAUGCGAGGACGCAUUUAGUGCAUAGGACCUCCUUUAGUGCAUAGGAUCUCCUUUAUCUUUUGUAGGCUAUCAUGUGUACGAUUCUGUAGACUAUGAUUUGUGCUCAUUCACAGACUACUUUAUGUAGGCCACUGUAGGCUAUGAUGUUACCCAAUGUGUGGUGUGUACGUUUUGAUGCUUGCAAUACCAAAUCAUAAAUGAUGCCUUGGCUACUAAAUUGUUAGAGUGUAGAGUACUCCGUAGGCUAUUUAGUCCGACAGCGGAUGUGCUCGCCCUCUCCUCUAUCCUCUCGGCAAAGCAAAGGUGAGCACAACAAAGAUGGGUGCAAAGGAAUCCACCAUACCCUACUUAAGUAGUGACCACAAGAAAGUUGAGUGCCGCAUGCAUCGCAGAUGGCUCGUCUGGUCGAGACCUCACUUAACCCAGGUCAGGCCCCACCUCUCCCAAGUAAGCCGAUGCAGGCUAUGAUGUCCAUGCAUGUCCUUUUCCAUUUGCCAUUAUCGAAAUUGUCCAUAGACCAUCUCAUUAUCGUUCUAUAUAUGAGACGUUCAGCCAAUGUUCAAACACACUACUAACACUACCCAACCCAAAUCCACCGUUUGCAGUGACGUUGCGUCUUCCUCUAAGAAAUGUCAUUGUGGAAGCAGGAGCGAAAUGGGGUUCCACCAUGGAAUGAGCACCCCAAAUGCCACUGUGGCUUCCGUGCAUGGUUGUAAGUAUGGGAGGAUGGCAAACCCAGGGGGAAGAAGGGGUGUAAGUACUUCAAGUGUCCCAACAUUGACGAUGAUUUCGUGGUCAGUCUAUCUGUUUGUAAAUAUUGUACAUACAUUUUCUACAUGUACCGAUCCCUUGAACUAAUAACGAAUGAACAUGCAGGCAUGCACAUUCAUGGAAUGGAUCAGCACUAGGCCUAUAGGGGGGUGCCCGUUUGGCCAGUGGUGCUGGAGACCAAAGCCCAAUACGGAAGGAUGGAAGCAGCUCGAGAUGCAACACGUGCUGCUCGGCUCGAGGAAGAAGAACAUGUCUGCCAACAACAAAUCCAUUUGAAGGGCAAUGAGCAUCAACUACAGAGAUGGUGCGAGCAAUUAGGUUCUCGAGAGGCAGCAUUGAAGUGACAGGAGGAAGAAUUCGAAGGUCGUUAGACACAGCUCGUCCAGGAAGAAGAACGACAGAAGAAGAUGAAGAGGUAGGAGGCAGAAUGUUCCUCCAAAACAUCGAGGAAGGGGAAACUUCCCCAGUUCACCUAGUAGAACAUUACUUGUCCUCCACCAAUUUACAUUACCUAAGGCAUUCUAUCCUAGGGGAGGUGCUCUUUUAGGUUUGUCAUAUUGGGCACCUUGGAUGCCAUUGUACUGUUGCGUGUACUAUUAUAACAUUUCAUCUCCUUGCAUCGAGUACUGAGAUUUCACACUAUUCCCAUUACACUUCUCUGCAGCCAGUACAUGAGGGAUAUAGGUACCUCAUAGGUCCCUGUCAACUAGGAUGCUAACCGGACCUGACAAGUGGGCCUGCUUGAUUAGUGCAUGUGGACCGAGAACACGAAGUUACUUGGAGUGCAUGACAAGGCAACUAGGCAGUCCAAAUCUACUUAGACUUCAUGAGACGCAUAUUGUAAUCCGACUUAGAAUACCUUCCAUGUAAUGCUGAGUAGAUUAGGUUCAAACCGACUUGUAACUCUUGGUCGUCAGGCUAUAUAUGGUGGCCAAGGGCACCCUCCUAGGGCAUCGACUCUCAGACCAUCAAUACAAUCCAUGAAUACUGGAUGUAGGGUAUUGCUCCUCGGAGGCCCAAACCUAUCUAAAAACCCAUGUGUCCCUUUGUGUUCUUGUGAUAACCUUCGAGUUCUUGGUUUCGAAAUCACCCUCACCUACAAAUCAACCACCUAGGUAACCCCCUAGUGGACUGCCGGGCUCAUAACUCUGACAGUACAAUACUCAAACAGUGGUUUCCACUGUUGACCUGAACCCUCACUAAAAAGCCUAGACUAUAGACUGUUGAUGUGAACCCUCACUGAAAAGUUUACACUACAGAGUGUUGACGUGGACUCUCACUAAAAAAUCUACACUAUAGAUUGCAAGAACCUUGAACAUGAAGCGUUCUUAGGAGAAUGGGACUCUACACUUACACCUACGUCCCUAUACCUGCAAAGGCUAUAUGUACCAUUUCUAAGGAUGAUUGAACACGAUGGCAUACUGAGCGCAUGGGGGCGCAGCGCAUCUUCAUCUCAGCACUCCUUAUAUUCAACCCCCCUCUCCCAUAUCCUUCCACGCCACUAAGCAGGAGUAAGAACUAUGGCAUCCACAAGAGGGAGAGGUCGUGAUAGGAGGGGAAGAGGAAGGGGUGCUCCUAUUCCAACCAUUACUUGGCAAGGUUCUUUUAGCCCAAUGGAGUAUGAGGCACCCCUUGACAAGUUCCCUCUGGAGGACAGGGCUAACUACGCCCCACCUAACUCCCUUAGGCCUUAUGACGACCGCCAGGAUGCGUGGCCAAUGUGUCACCAUGGCGUGGCUUGUGUCAUCUAGCUCUAUGACGACUAUGGUGAUGGAAGCCGCCAUUUCUUUCAAUGCCCGUAUAGGUUGGUAAGUCAAGUUAUUACUUCAUUACUCUUCCUAAGCUUCUCAUGCUACAAAGUAACAUCACGUUCAGACCUACCUCGAUGAAGGAAAUUGCGCUAUGCCAAGUGGGUCGAUCCACCACUUCCUGAGCCAACCUAGGAGUAUAUACACUACCUGAAGUGCAAGAUCUUUGAUCUGGAGUGUAAGGUCGAGGAUCUUCAAUCUGAAGUUGACGCGAAUCCUUGGGUGGUUGACAUCGCAGGUGACUUGAUUUGUACCGAUCCAUGGUGCAAGUGGCCCUACCACCACAACAAGGAUCGCCCUACGUCUCCGCCAUCGUCUGGUGGUGCUAGCUACUAUGGAGCUGGGUCGUUGCAGUCCUCGCAAAGCCAAUUCUUCUAGAAAGUAGACAUGGCUCUUUUUCCAGCUAUUUCAAUUACCUAAGGCAUGCUAGGUUUAGCAACGGUACUAGUUUAGGAUAGUAUCCGUGCCGCACAUGCCACUAUAAUCUAUAAUUAGUUGUUCACCCUAGAGUCGGUGUUGUUCGUAUGUUGUGCACGAAUUUCAUUUUUAUCCAUUGUAAUCUCGCUGGAAACAACUACGUAUCUAAUGGUAGGGAGUUAAAUUAUUUUCAAUUUUUUGGUUCGAUCACUCUACCUCUCUCAAAUUACGAAGUUACACAUUGCAAUGAAACUACAUAUUUCACUUUUAAAAAUAUCAUACAAAAUUACAUGAAAAAUAACUAAUUAAAAUUAAAACAGAGUUAUAGCCUGUUGAAACGGUUCUAUAGCAUCCUAAACCUAGCUAAACCAAGCUGUAUGACCUUCUCGGUAGCCCAGCUACCGCCGUACGAAACGGUGGUAACAGGCUACUUCCGUUUCACAUGGCAGGAGGUGGGUGUGCACCGCUCCGGGCCUCCUACCGCCGUUUCAACUGGUGGUAGCGGAGUUACCGUCGUUUCAUCUGGCGGAAUAGGUCUAUUUCUGCAAAUUUUUUGUUCGACUAUUUAUUUCUACAAAAUCGUAAAAAAAUAUAAAAAUAAAGUUGUUCAAGUUCUAAACAGUUCUCGGUCAGAUCAUGCAUGUGUCUUGGGCUCAAAGUUCAUGCUUCUCUACUUGCUCCACCUGAUAAAGAGGAGUGCAAGAUCGAUGUUUGCCGCAUGAGACUUGGCUCAGCUCCCUGGACCCUGAUCAGCUGUAAAGACUUAGCAUUCUGACGCUGAUCCAUCCAUGCAUUUUUAUUUUUUUUUUGGUCACAAGAAGCACAAGAAGAACAGAGCGUACAGAUACGCCAAACCAUUCAGGCACGUACACAAAUGCUCCGAAGCACUAGUGUGCCAGUAUAGGCUCACAAGUCAUACACAAAGUUAUACGAGGUGUAAGAAAGCUUCUCCUAAAUAAAAAGGACAGCACUGCAAGAGUUCAAGCGCACAUAGCAAUGUCGGACUAAAUGGAAGUUUAGACAAUGAUUCCAAGGUAAUACAGACUUGGGCCGUGCUAUUUUCAGGCCCAUCAAUCUCUAAGUGCACUGCCAGUAUAUAUUUGUUAGAACCGACUAUUCUAGAUAUUAUACCAAUCUAUUGCAUUGCAUGUGAGGGACGAACUAAUUGUUUCUUGUACAUUAUUGCACCUUCCAUUUUGCAAACGGUUGAAGGUACCCUUCCAUGAUGGUUGUAUCGAUACAGACUGUCUUGCUUGCUUGUGCACACCAAAUUAAAGGGAAUGAGAUGAGCACAGACAAGAUAUCCUAAAAGAUUUUUGUACAUCCUAAUAAACUAAUUAAGAAGUGCGUAUGCAAAUCAAUUCAAUUAAUCACAGGUGAUAUAUAUAUAUAUAUAUAUAUAUAUAUAUAUAUAUAGGAUUAUACUAUACAAUACCCUGGGUACGGAAUAAUAUUCCGUACCCGAGCUCAUCCACCGAUGCACCAUCCCCCGCUGGUUUUUUUUUCUCUCCCCGCUCCUCCGUUUUUUUCUGUGUUUUUUUUUCCCGAUCGUGGGUCUUCCGUCGUGGGAGGUCCCUUCUGUUGGGAUACGAGGUAGGCUACGCUAGCGCAAAUCAAAAUUUCUACCGCGUAUAACCAGGAAGAACUGCCGUAUAAGGAUCACGGGAUUACCACUCGACGCACUACUGGUGCGGAAGAUGUAGAUAUGCGUCGGUGCAGAGAAGACGAUCACGUAGUCGUACGUAGUCGAUCAACGUAGUCGUACGUAGUCGAUCACGUCCAGCAGCUCCUCAGCAGCUCGUCCACGUGCACAGCAAGAUCGCCUCCGAUGCCGCGGCUCGUCGUCGGCUCGUCGUGGCUCGUCGGCGGCUCGUCGAUGGCUCAUCCAAGUGCUGCAGGCGCAACACUUCCAAGGUAUCCACACGUGCAGGGAGGAAGCGUCGCAAGCCGGACUGCUAGAUCCGCGAGUUGCAACAGGCGAGGGCGUGGGAGGCGCGGCAAGUCUGUUCAGCCAAAAGGUGUAAAACCCUAGGGCGCCCCCACCUUUCUAUUUAUAGGGGUUCCUGAUGGGCCUCUGGAUCCGAGGCCCAUUAGUACUCCUAAACCUAAUCCAACUCGGAUCAGAUCCGAAUUGGGCUUCCAGCCCCUUAAGUGUGUGACCCUAUGGGUUCGGAUACGUAUAGACAUGGCCCGAGUACUCCUACUCGGCCCAAUAGUCGGUAGCGGCCUCUAGCAAGACGUGCCAACUCCUAUACGCAUACGAAGAUCAUAUCAGACGAACCAUCACAACAUAAUAUACAUGCUAUUCCCUUUGCCUCACGAUAUUUGGUCUAGCUUCAAGCCGACUGCUCUUUCUCGAUCCUGUGAUUCGGAAUCCCUUUGUAGGUUAACUCUUAACCGUACGUAGCAUGGCCAUGCAUUUUCUGAUCCGAUCACUCGAGGGGCCCAGAGAUAUCACUCUCAAUCAGAGAGGGGCAAAUCCCAUCUUGAUUGACCAUGUCUCAUAGCAUGCUUCUUGACAAACCCGAAAGCUACCUUUAUAACUACCCUGUUACGGCGUAGCGUUUGAUAGCCCCUAAGUAGGUCAAUCCACAUUUAGAAUACAUGCGACAAUCUCAGGUCUAAGGACAAAGCGUAUAUGUUGUUUAAAGAGAGAACUACUUCUCGUGUUGGGUCAGUCCUAACACAUGUCUCCACAUGUGUCCACAUUAUUAGUUCAACAACUCCAUGUCCAUGACUUGUGAAACAUAGUCAUCAACUAAUACAUGUGCUAGUCUAAUAUUCAUGUGUGUCCUCACAUGAACUCCGACUAGGGACAACUUUAGAAUAACCAUACAAGUAAAGAGUUUUCACAUACAAUUCACAUAAUUGCAAAUCAAUUCAAGUAGCCUUUAAUGGAUAUUCAAUGAACACAAUAUACAAAUCAUGGAUACAAAUGGAAUAUCAUCAUCUCUAUGAUUGCCUCUAGGGCAUACCUCCAACAGUCUCCCACUUGCACUAGAGUCAAUCUAGAAGGUACCUAAUGCCCAUAGCUCUUACAUGCGCAUCAUGCUUAGCCUGCGGGAGUGGUUUUGUCAACGGAUCAGAAAUGUUCAGAUCCGUGUGUAUUUUGCAUAUCUUGAUCUCACCCUGGUUAACGAAGUCUCGAAUGAGAUGAAAUCGCCGCAUUACGUGUUUGUUCUUCUGGUGGUUCCUUGGCUCCUUUGCUUGCGCAAUUGCCCCAUUGUUAUCACAGUAGAGAUUCAAUGGGCUGGACGCAUUCGGGAACACACCCAGCUCAAUGAGGAAAUUCCUUAUCCAAACACCUUCCUUCGCGGCUUCCGAAGCCGCGAUGUACUCGGCUUCUGUCGUAGAAUCGGCCACCGUCUCCUGCUUGGAACUCUUCCAACUAACAGCACCACCAUUUAGCGUGAACACAAAUCCUGAUUGUGACUUUGAAUCAUCUCUAUCGGUUUGGAAACUAGCAUCGGUGUAACCUGUUACAACGAGCUCCUCCUGACCUCCAUAGACGAGGAACAUAUCUUUAGUCCUUCUCAAGUACUUAAGAAUGUUUUUCACCGCUGUCCAGUGACUCUCAUCUGGAUCAGAUUGGUGUCUGCUUGUCAUACUUAGCGCAUAUGAAACAUCUGGGCGAGUACUUAUCAUUGCAUACAUGAUAGAUCCAAUAGCCGAGGCAUAUGGCACUCUACUCAUGCGAUCCCGCUCAUCAGCAGUCGAAGGACACUGAGUCUUGCUGAGAUGUAUGCCAUGUGACAUAGGCAAGAACCCUUUCUUUGCCUCUUCCAUGCUGAACCGCUUCAACACUUUGUCAAUGUAAGUAUCUUGUCUUAAACCUAUAAGCCUUCUCGAUCUAUCUCUAUAGAUCUUAAUGCCCAGAAUAUAUGCCGCUUCCCCUAAGUCCUUCAUCGAAAAACUAUUUUUCAGUGAAGUCUUUACGGACUCAAGCAUAGGAAUAUUAUUUCCAAUCAGUAAUAUGUCAUCCACAUAUAAGAUUAGAAAUACUACAGAGCUCCCACUAACCUUCUUGUAAACACAAGACUCUUCUUCGUUCUUGGUGAAGUCAAACCCUUUGACUACUUCAUCAAAACGAAUGUUCCAACUCCUAGAUGCUUGCUUCAAUCCAUAAAUGGAUCUCUGAAGCUUGCAUACCUUUCCAGCAUUUUUCGGAUCGACAAAACCCUCGGGCUGUAUCAUAUACACGUCCUCAGCUAGGUUUCCAUUCAGGAAAGCUGUCUUGACAUCCAUCUGCCAUAUCUCAUAAUCGAAAUAUGCAGCUAUAGCUAGAAUAAUCCGAAUGGACUUAAGCAUCACUACGGGCGAGAAGGUCUCAUCGUAGUCAACUCCUUGAACUUGUCGAAAACCUUUUGCGACAAGUCGUGCUUUAUAGAUGUGAACAUUUCCAUCCAUGUCCUUUUUCUUCUUAUAGAUCCACUUGCACUCUAUGGCUUUAACACCAUCAGGCGGGUCAACCAAGUUCCAAACUUGAUUGUCUCCCAUGGACUCUAUUUCGGAUUGCAUGGCACUCUGCCAUUUUUCGGAGUCUGGGUCCAUCAUUGCUUCUGCAUAUGUCGCAGGCUCAUCAUUGUCCAACAAUAAUAUUUCCCGCAUUUCGCGGAGCCUUGUCGACCUUCGUGGUUGUGGCUGUGCUUCUCUUGCCAUGGGUAUCUCAACUUGUUCUGCUACGUUAGCAUCACUCAUUGAUUCUUGCCCGAUUGGCUCAUCUUGAACUUCUUCAAGAUGCACUGUCUUUCCACUCUUUUCUCCUUUGAGAAACUCUUUCUCUAGGAAAACCCCAUUCCGAGCGACAAACACUUUGCCUUCUGAUCGGUUGUAGAAAUAAUAUCCCAAAGUUUCCUUUGGAUAUCCCACGAAAAUGCACUUAUCCGACUUGGGUGUGAUCUUGUCCGACUGAAGUCGCUUGACAAACACUUCACAUCCCCAAAUCUUUAGAAAAGACAAACUAGGAACCUUUCCAGUCCACAUCUCAUAUGGUGUCUUAACCACGGAUUUAGAUGGUACCCUAUUAAGUGUGAAAGCUGCUGUUUCUAGAGUGUAUCCCCAAAAUGACAACGGUAGGUCCGACUGGCUCAUCAUUGAUCGAACCAUGUCUAACAAAGUUCGAUUACGUCGCUCGGACACACCAUUUCUCUGAGGUGUUCCAGGCGGCAUAAGUUGUGGAACAAUUCCGCAACUCUUUAGAUGAUUGCUAAACUCGUGGCUCAAAUACUCGCCUCCACGAUCAGAUCGUAAGGCCUUAAUUUUCUUGCCACGCUGAUUUUCAACUUCAUUCUGAAAUUCCUUGAACUUUUCAAAGGUUUCAGACUUGUGCCUCAUCAAGUAGACAUAGCCGUAUCUACUAAAAUCAUCAGUGAAAGUUAUGAAGUAUUGGAAUCCUCCUCUAGCCGUCGUGCUCAUUGGUCCGCAUACAUCACUAUGUAUGAGUUCCAACAAGUCUACUGCUCUCUCAGGAAAUCCUGUGAAAGGCGUCUUGGUCAUCUUGCCUAGCAAGCAAGCCUCGCAUGUCUCGUAUGAUUCAAAAUCAAACGAAGUUAGAAGUCCAUCAGAAUGGAGCUUCUUCAUGCGCUUAUCACUUAUAUGACCCAAACGACAAUGCCACAAGUAGGUAGGACUCAAAUCAUUAGGCCGAGGCCUUUUAGCACUUACAUUACAGACAAGUGAACCAUCAAGAUUUAAAACAAACAAUCCAUUCACAAUGGGUGCAAAAGCCAUAAACAUAUUAUUCUUAGAGAUCACACAACCAUUGUUUUCACUCGCAAAUGAAUAACCAUCCUUCAUCAAACAUGAAGGAGAUAAAAUGUUUCGACUUAAACUAGGAACAAAAUAACAAUUAUUCAACUCCAUAAUAAAUCCUGACGGGAGGUGGAGUUGCAUCGUCCCGACGGUCAAAGCAGCAACUCUUGCAUUAUUGCCCACGCGGAAAUCAACUUCUCCUCUUUCCACGCUUCUACUUCUUAUCAUUCCCUGCAUCGAAUUGCAAAUAUGAGCAACCGAUCCGGUAUCAAAUACCCAAGAAUUAAUAACUGUAUCAGCGAGAAAUAUGUUGUCUAUAACAUAAACAACAAGCGUACCUGAGGUAGAAGUACUCUUACUUCCGCCGUUCUUCAAGGAAGCUAGGUACUGCUUGCAGUUUCUCUUCCAGUGACCAAGUUCAUGACAGUAAAAGCACUCUUUAUCUGGAGCAGGUCCAGAUCCAGCUUUAACCUUGGGCGGUGGGUUUGGCUUGGACGUUCCAGCCUUGCCCUUCUUCUUCCAAGAAUUGCCCUUCUUCUUAAAGCUGGGCUUGUUCUGUAUCGCCAUCACAUGGCUGGUACUAGCGCUUUUCUUUAUGUCAGCCUCUGCUGUCUUGAGCAUACCACACAGCUCAUUCAGACCCUUCUCCGUCCCAUGCAUAUGGUAGUUCGAGAUGAAGUUCCCAUAGCUAGCCGGAAGAGAUGAAAGAAUGAAAUCAGUGGCCAACUCUUGGCCCAGUGGGAAGCCUAGCUUUUCCAACCGUUGAGUGUAACCAACCAUCUUGAUUACGUGUGGUCCUACCGCUGCGCCUUCUGCUAGCUUGCUCUCAACAAAGGCCUUAGACACAUUGAACCUUUCAGUCCUGGCCUGUGUUUGGAACAUGUCUCUAAGCGCCACGAUCAUAUCGUGCGCCUCAUGGUUUGUUUCGAACUGCAUCUGCAGCUCGGGUUCCAUGCAAGCAAGCAUAAGGCAGCUUACUUCGAGGUUAGCAUCACAUGCUUUCUUGUAAGCAUUCUUAGCAGCAGCGGGUGCAUCCUCAGCAGGUUCUUCUGGUAGUGGGUUGUCUAGAACAUCUUCCUUUUCUCAGCCCUGAGAACAAUUCUCAGGUUGCGGAUCCAAUCCGAGUAGUUUGUUCCAUUCAACUUGUCCUUCUCAAGGACCGAACGCAAAGCAAACGAUGUGGUGGUGUUGCUAGGUGCCAUUUAAUCUACAACAAAAGUAAUGCAAAAUACACUAAGACAAACGUAUCCAUGAUAGAGCAAAUUACAUUAAACUAUUUUAACAGAAUCUACUCCCACUAAAAUCAAUAUCCCUCUAUUGAAACUUAGUGAUUCAGGAUCCACAACUAACAAGUCUACUAGUGAGCUUUAGCAUCACCGCUAGCAAACGAGGUAGAUCGGUAAGCAACUUUUGCUAAUCAUAUCACAUAUGACUCCUGUUGUUGGGUGACAUCUCCAUGUCUCGGCGCCCAACCUUUAUGCCCCAAGGUCCUUAACCGUUAAGAUGACCUUGUUAAGCAAACCAACCCUUAUGCGUGUAAGUGUCCGACACAAACCCGUCUAGUCAAGGAAAACUAGUGGCACCCUAAUUUCAUAGACCCACCACUAAUUGUACAAGACAUGGGACGGUGCAAGUUUUAGUUGGGAGGGCAUACUAACUUAAACUUUGCAAGGGAUCGUUCUACUUCUAACAUCACAGCAUGCAGAAAGUAAAACAUAAAACAGAAUAGCAUUCACACAGUUGUGACACAGUAUGGCCCGUUUUUCAUAUGGUGAUCUCCAUCUCCAUAGAACCUGUUCACCAUGGUGAUCUCCAUCUCCAUGUUCCAUGUGCGCCAUCCUCCUGGUGAUGAGUCCUCCAAGAACUAGAGUAUGCUAUUACACCUAAUAGCUAGUAAAGAAUCUAGUAAUGAAGAUUACAUAGUUGCUUGGAUCAUCACAGAUUGGUACGCAGACCAUUAAAUACAAUAAAGUGACAACACAUAUGGCUCCUGCCUUGUUGCCGUACGCGCGACACGCAGGUCACGAAUGAGUUACACACAUGCAUCACAUACACAAGGGGCCAUACUGAUCACAAGAUACAUACAUCCUGCAAAAGAGAGUUAGGCGUCCUAACGUUCCAAACUUCGGAGGCCCGAAACUCCAUCUUCCAAGCCGAAUUUGGGAAAUCUAAUUUCGCCGAAAACGGCGAAGCGGUUGAAUUUCAUGUGUAACUUUUUCUAUAGAUCAAUUUUCGUAUAGAAAUCGCCCCGAUCCGAGAUCGUACCGAAAAGUUACGGCUGAUUUACCGAAGCAUGCGCAUACGGCAAAAUCCCGACCCCGGCAGUAGAUCACAUCUACUAUUGCACAUCUAAUGCGCCUGGCGUAUGACCCUGGAUCUCGAUUUGACCAAUCAUAUUGAUCUUCCCUCACUGCAACUGGAUUUACGUGUAUCACUUAACUCCGAUGGCGGAAACCGACCGGUAGGAGUAUGUCGUUACACUACCAUUGCAGCAAGGGCACGAAAUCAGGACAUAGAUCAAACAAAGAACUCGCAUAUCUCCAUAUGCACACAUCCCGAAUCCAAAACUAAGCAGCUACGGCUCUGAUACCACUGUUGGGAUACGAGGUAGGCUACGCUAGCGCAAAUCAAAAUUUCUACCGCGUAUAACCAGGAAGAACUGCCGUAUAAGGAUCACGGGAUUACCACUCGACGCACUACUGGUGCGGAAGAUGUAGAUAUGCGUCGGUGCAGAGAAGACGAUCACGUAGUCGUACGUAGUCGAUCAACGUAGUCGUACGUAGUCGAUCACGUCCAGCAGCUCCUCAGCAGCUCGUCCACGUGCACAGCAAGAUCGCCUCCGGUGCCGCGGCUCGUCGUCGGCUCGUCGUGGCUCGUCGGCGGCUCAUCGAUGGCUCGUCCAAGUGCUGCAGGCGCAACACCUCCAAGGUAUCCACACGUGCAGGGAGGAAGCGUCGCAAGCCGGACUGCUAGAUCCGCGAGUUGCAACAGGCGAGGGCGUAGGAGGCGCGGCAAGUCUGUUCAGCCAAAAGGUGUAAAACCCUAGGGCGCCCCCACCCCUCUAUUUAUAGGGGUUCCUGAUGGGCCUCUGGAUCCGAGGCCCAUUAGUACUCCUAAACCUAAUCCAACUCGGACCAGAUCCGAAUUAGGCUUCCAGCCCCUUAAGUGUGUGACCCUAUGGGUUCGGAUACGUAUAGACAUGGCCCGAGUACUCCUACUCGGCCCAAUAGUCGGUAGCGGCCUCUAGCAAGACGUGCCAACUCCUAUACGCAUACGAAGAUCAUAUCAGACGAACCAUCACAACAUAAUAUACAUGCUAUUCCCUUUGCCUCACGAUAUUUGGUCUAGCUUCAAGCCGACCACUCUUUCUUGAUCCUGUGAUUCGGAAUCCCUUUGUAGGUUAACUCUUAACCGUACGUAGCAUGGCCAUGCAUUUUCUGAUCCGAUCACUCGAGGGGCCCAGAGAUAUCACUCUCAAUCAGAGAGGGGCAAAUCCCAUCUUGAUUGACCAUGUCUCAUAGCAUGCUUCUUGACAAACCCGAAAGCUACCUUUAUAACUACCCUGUUACGGCGUAGCGUUUGAUAGCCCCUAAGUAGGUCAAUCCACAUUUAGAAUACAUGCGACAAUCUCAGGUCUAAGGACAAAGCGUAUAUGUUGUUUAAAGAGAGAACUACUUCUCGUGUUGGGUCAGUCCUAACACAUGUCUCCACAUGUGUCCACAUUAUUAGUUCAACAACUCCAUGUCCAUGACUUGUGAAACAUAGUCAUCAACUAAUACAUGUGCUAGUCUAAUAUUCAUGUGUGUCCUCACAUGAACUCCGACUAGGGACAACUUUAGAAUAACCAUACAAGUAAAGAGUUUUCACAUACAAUUCACAUAAUUGCAAAUCAAUUCAAGUAGCCUUUAAUGGAUAUUCAAUGAACACAAUAUACAAAUCAUGGAUACAAAUGGAAUAUCAUCAUCUCUAUGAUUGCCUCUAGGGCAUACCUCCAACACCUUCAGUUCCCAUCCCGUUCUCCUGCUGCUCUCCCUUCGCUCACGCCACAGCUCGCCAACUACCGCCGCCGGCGCAUGCCGGUGCUUUUUCCGCUCCAGUUCCUUAUUCCGUUCUCGCUGCCGCCCGCCUUCCGCAGCCGCCGCCGCCACUCCCCAUCCGUAGCCGUCGCCGCCAGUCGCCAUUCGCUUCCGCCUCCGCCACUCGCCAACCGCAUUCGCCGCCGCCCGCCUUCCGCAACCGCUGCUGCCACUCCCCAUCCGUAGCCUCCACCGCCAAUCACCACUCGCCAUCCGCAUCCGCCGCCGCCGCUCGCCCGCAGCUGCCGCACCGCUCCUCUCCUCCUCUGCAUCGAUGCUGCGCCGUCCCUCGCGUCGAUCCCGUGCCGCCUCUCUCCUCCGCAUCGACGCCUCGCGCCCCUCGCGUCGAAACCUCGCCGCCCCUCUCCUCCUCCGCAUCGACGCCGCACCGCCCCUCACGUCGACCCCGCGGCGCCCCUCUCCUCCUCCGCAUCGACGCCGUGCCGGACGCCGCAAUAGCCCGCCAGAGCUAGGUUCGAUCCCCUCGACCGCCCGAUGCCGCCGAUGAGCUCACGCCUAGCUGGUGGUGGUAUUAGGUGAAAUGCCGUGACUUCGUCAACCGUGCUACUGGCUUGCGCACAUGCUGGGGCAAUACAGACUGGAAAGCGUAUUCAUAAUCAGGUGAAUUACUUAUAUAUAUAUCCGCUAUUUGGUACCCAAGGUACCGAAUACUUAUUCGGUACCCGAGCACCAUCUCCGCGCCCGUCCGAGCGCUCCUCCCGACUCCCGCAACCAAGCCUCCAUCGCACGCGCUUCAGGGUCCGGUUUUUUUUUUUACGGUUGAGUGAAUCCAGGAACCGGACUGUCCACCACGCACGCCAUCGUUUAGAAAAGCGCAGCAGCAGUUGUGAGUUCCGACGUCGACGCGGCGUCACCGCCACCGCUGUUCCGUCGCCAGUUUCCCGCAACAGCUCGCCGAAUCGGAGCCUCCGCGCCAGGCGAUGUAUCAGGUCUACGCCGUAGGUAGAGCGGAUGCCGCCGCCGCCGUUUCUCUCAGAUCGGCACGAAGGUUGACCUUGCAUGUCUCCAGCCAUGGUAGCUUCAGCGCAUAUAGAAUCGGAGCCAUUUUUAUCUGCAAGAUCAACCUGAUACUGGGAGAUUGAAACCAUUGCUUUUUCAGGUCCUUGGAAAGGAGAAUGUUUAGAUUGAACUGUUGAAAUUGUCGUGUUUCCAUAAUCAAAAUGUUUGUUCAUCAUAUCGAGUCUUAAGCUCCAAUUUAUCUUUUUUUAUUAAUUGAAAUGAGAGCUAGUACAGCAAAUAUUCAAUGACUGGGUGAUCUUUACAUUCGUGAUAAAUCUGGCAAUACAAAUUGGCGACUAGGUAUCUCAAUUUCAUGACACAGGAAAUUUUGCAAUAGACGGAGCAGCCAGGUGUCCCAAGAAUACUAAUUGGUUAAUGAAUCUUUGUUCUCUGUCCUCUCCGUGACCAAUGUCAUCUGCCUCGUAGUCACUUUGCUUGUGACCUACUUGUACACAAACAGACUGAAAUCGGACCGUGAAAACAACAUAUUGAAACAUGUUGCAUCUAAACAAUACUACAACUUUUUAUGCAUUGCACUACAAAUUCCUGGUGUCUUAAUCAGAAGCAGACCGUAGUGAGCUCAUUGCAAUCUCUGUUAGUGUAUUCGUUCCUGAAGUUUGCUUGUGACCUCGUUGUACUCACUGCCGACCGAGCCUGCAAUAGAAUAACAAAAGGUUGCGUAUAACAAUGUCACAUGUGGAUAGAAAAGCUUCUAUGAAUGUGUAAUUGUAAAUAAUGAAAUAUAGGUGCAGAAACCUUGCUACAUUCCAAUUGAAGUGAGUGAAUCCUUGAAAAUGAAAUAACCUCACCACAAGUGGUGUCAUGUCUGACUCUGAGAAUAAAAAUUCAAUUAUAUGCAAUGUAGUAUAACCUCAUCAUCUUCCAAAUGAAGAAUGGACCAUAAAUUAUAUAUCACUGGAACUAAAUCAAGAAUCAAGAUAGGUUCCUUGUGGCAAAUAGUGGCAUAUUAUGUAAAAGUCUUGCUGUCUUCCAAAAUGAAGCGACUGAACCAUAAGACCUAAGUUGUUUGCAACCAAACUGGCCUGACCAUAAAUAGUAUGAUGUGUGACCAGAAAACUUUAAUUACACGCAGUCUUGGUUUCUCGUUCCAAGUUAGAUGUACAUGCUAAAGCUUCACUGUCUUCCAUAUAAAAUGGAUUAACCAUAAAAGUCAUUUUGGAACCAAAGUAGCCUGAAGGCAAGUAAUGUCAUAUGCAAACACACAAAAAAUAGAUUUUAUGUAAUCUGGCAUUGAUUUAGUUUUUCUUAUUGCAAAUAAUGAUGUAUUUGAAUGCAAAUAUCUCUUCACACGCAGACCAUGUUAGAAUGAAACUAGUGAACAGAAGUCGGAUUGCAAAUAAUGUUGUGUUAGCACACAAAAAAUUCAAUGAUAUGUAAAAUUAUGCAAGUAUUUUCUAACUCGAAUACAACAAUCCAUGGCACUCAGUUAAUCUCAAAUUGUUAUCAUAGAAAGGCAUACUAGUUUACUAGCAUACAAUAUAAAAAAAACUUAGUCUUCAAUUAGAACACCCAACAGUUCCUAGGACUUUUCUCCUACCGCCAGGAUUGAGAAACUGUAUAGAUUGACUUAGGGGAUGUUUGACUUAGGGGAUGUUUGGAUCUUUAGUCCUGACUAAAAUUCAUGUCACAUCGGAUAUUCGGAAGCUAAUUAGGAGGACUAAACAUGAGCUAAUUAUAAAACUAAUUACACAGAUGGAGGCUAAUUCAAGAGACGAAUCUAUUAAGCCUAAUUAAUCAAUCAUUAGCACAUAUUUACUGUAGCAUCACAUUGUCAAAUCAUGGACUAAUUAGGCUUAAUAGAUUCGUCUCGCAAUUAGUCUCCAUCUGUACAACUGGUUUUGUAAUUAGUCUAUGUUUAAUACUCCUAAUUAGUAUCUAAAUAUUCGAUGUGACAGAAAGUUUAGGAGGUGCUAAAGAAACAAACACCCCCUUAUUAUUAAGAGUAGUGCCAACCAAAUCGAACAAAGCAACAGAGAUUAUUGGAUGCCAUCUCACUGCAAGGUGUCCUAACUCCUAAGCAAACAAUUUAUAAGCUGUAAAAUCCAGGAACCUUAAAUCUGUAACAUCGGCUACCACAUACAUAGAUAUAUCAAUAUUGAAAGGCAUACCUAAAGUUCAAUACGUGCAAUUUAAGAAUACUGGAUACUUACAGGAUUCCAGAAAAUUAAUUAACGGCUAGUUCAUAUAACAACUACGACAACUACGGAAGUGGCACUCUACUACAUAACUUUAACUAGUAAUCAAUUUAAAAAAUAUGUAUAUUAAUAUCAAGAAGAAAGACUUUGCAGGACCCAUCUCAUGCAAGAGCUAAAACAAAAUGAAUGGGAGUUGAAGAAUAGAAUGGGCCGGGGAAAAUGGGUAACCCCAGAUCAAAGCUGCAGGCAGGAACCUAAUCUCAGCACAUGGAAGUUUCACGGGAAGAUGGUCCUGACGCUCAACACCUGCACAAAGGAUGCUCCAAAGGUUGUGUUUGGGUUGGAGCCAGCAGAGGUUGAGGAAUUCACAUCACAAUGUUGGCGUUCUGCUCGCCGCCUACAGCUUGACAGUAAGAAUGGGCUCGGCAGCAGGACCCAUCCUGUCAUCUCUGGAAAAAUAGCAACCCACAACACAGGGGCUAAAAAAAGAUGCCACUCGGGCAUACCAUAAUCAUUUCAGAUUAAAAAAAAGGCAUAUUGAUCAGGCAAGCUCAUGAACCACAAUGUUUUCAAGUGCAAAGCUUCAAAAACAUCUGGAAUGAUUAACAAAGUAUAUUGAUCCAAAUAUAUUAACUCAUAUCAGGUGAUCAAACCAAGCCUACACCUAGCAGCAAAUUUGGAUUGGCAAAUCAGCUCAGCAUCUCUUGGAUGAAAUGAAUGCAUAUCAGCCAGUAGGAAGCAUGCACAUCUGAACAUUUUACAUCACUGAAUGAAAACAAGUUGCAUAUCUGAAUUUUGAACAGGAACUCAUCUAGACAUAUUCACAAAUAAGUCUCAUCAAUUUGUUUAUAAGAGAAAAGGGGAAAUUAAUAAAGCUCUAGUUAUCUGAAUAGGAAUCCCUCAACCUGCAAAUAAACAUCUAGUUCUUAUCUGAGGAACCAGCAUCCCUCAGCCAACAAACUGUGGAUUCUACAAUUCCCAAUCCACUCUUUACUGCAAACUUGAAUUAGUAAUCCACAAAGAAAAAAUACCAAGAAGGCAUCAGUUGCUGGAUCCAUCUCACGCAAAGACUAAACAAAUGAACAGGAGCUGAAGUACAGUCUGAUAACAAUAGGAAAGCACAAGCAACCGGUCAGAUUCUACCUUAGAGCCUGGAUGGCUAUUGUGGCGUCCGGCGCGGCAUCGAUGCGGAGGAGGAGAGGGGCGGCGCGGGGUCGACGCGGAGGAGAGAGGUGGUGCGGGGUUGACGCGAGGGGCGCGAGGGGUGGCGCGGCAUCGAUGCGGAGGAGGAGAGGGGCGGCGCGGCGGCUGUAGAUGGCGAGCGGCGGCGGCGGCUGCGGAUGGGGAGAGGCGGAGGCGAUUGGACACCGGACGCGGAGUCGGCGGCGACGAGCUAGCGCUGGAGCUCAUAGGGGUUGGCGCGCGGGGCCGACGGCGGUGGUUGGCGAGCGGUGGCUACAGCGAAUGGCGAGCGGCAGCGUCCGCUAGCAUGAGAACUGGACUAGCAUGAGAACUGGACGGACGGGAACUGAACGGACCACCCACGACGGGAAGACCCACGUUCGGGAAAAAAAAGUCAGAAAAAAAAUCGGGGGAAGCGGGAGAGGAAAAAUUGGUGGGAGGGAGGUGGGAGCUGGAUCCGCGGGUGAGCUCGAUUACGGAAUAUUAUUCCGUAUCUUAGAGUAUCAUAUAGUAUAGUCAUAUAUAUAUAUAUAUAUAUAUAUAUAUAUAUAUAUAUAUAUAUAUAUAUGAUAGUGCCAGUGCCACGAAUGCAUUACUAGCUAGCCAUCACCAACACACAUGUAUAUAUAUGCAUUAUUCAAAAGAAGUAGAAAUUUUUAAAUUUCAACUAGAAAUUAGAUAAUCUUGACUCUAAGUAUGCAUAUGUCAACUGCAUAACCUACCACCACUUGGGCAGUUGUCGUACCUAGAGAGCUGCCUGCGUCUCUGUAAUUUACCAAGAGUUAAAAUAAAUCGACUGUGGCACCUGCGGUGGCAAAGGAGCGUUUUCCUAAUUGGCAAAUCAGAGUAGCUUUUAUGCCAGGAUUGGAGGAGUGGAAUACAACAUGCACUGGCAAGGAUGGUCUGGGGUUGAGAUUGAAACUAUGCCUACCGAAAUGCCGUGAGUGGACAAUAAGCUAUAGCGACCAAGUUAUAUCUUCACUCAAGGAGGUACAAACCAGCAGCCAUCGCUGCAACUCUAAUCCAAGUACCACCAGCCUGGCUAUCAGCACGACAGUUUCAGGCUGUUUCACCACUUCCCUCCAGGAGUCACACAAGUUUGCCGGAGGGCAUACAACAACUCUCCUCCCUUCAGUCACACGAGUUGAAUUAUCGUGACAGCAUAUCAGCACUGUUGGAAUGGCUGAGCGACAUCUCCUCUCUUAAAAAGCUCGUCAUCAAGGGCUGUGAUAGCAUCAAGUCUUUGCCUGCAUGUAUACAACACCUCACCAACCUCCAGCAGCUAGUUAUUGAUUGGAACCAUGAACUACUACGUACAGCAGUGGUGCAAGUCAGAAGAGAAUAAGACCAAGCUCGCACACAUUAACUAACAUAUAUAGUAAGUUCACGACCAAAAAGCAUUUAUAUUUUUCUAAAUCCAGCAUUCAAGUUUGCUUGUAAAACUUAUGUACUUCCUGUAUGAUUUAAUUUCAGCAAGUCAAGUAUCUUAAAGGCUCUCUGUUUCCAUUCUCUUCAUACAGGACACUUUUUCUGUUGUUGGAAAAUAAUAAGGAGGAAGUCCAUUUUUGACCAUUGAACUGAGUUUGGUUUAACCAUCCAACUCCAAAAUCAGGAGAUUUUUAACCAUCGAGCUACUAAAACCAUUUACAUUUGGCCAUUCACAUUCACUGGUUUUGAAGGAUAGUUUCGCUGACGUGGUUUUGAAGGAUAGUUCGCUGACGUGGACAGCACGUGGAUGUAGAUCCCACAUGUCAGGUCAUUUUUCUCUCUCCUCUCUCCUUAUUCUUCUCUCUCCUAUCUCCAUGCCCGGCAGCGCUGGCCCGCAGCGGAGCUCCAGCUCGCUCGGCCGGCCGCGAUAGCCCAGCUCACUCGUCCGGUGGCGCUGGCCCACGGUGGAGCUCGAGCUCGCCCGGCCGGCCAUGGUGAAGUGCGCCCCGGCCCCUACUCCUCCUCUCCACCUUGUUUCACCACCGGCUGCAAGGAUACCUGGAGAAAAGGUAAAAAAGAGAGAGCAAACAAGCAGGGAUGAAUGAUAGCAGCAAGGAUACUUGAGUUUUGGACUAGAGAUGAGUGCUUAGUACCUUGCAAGUGGAAUGAGCGCCCAGCUAAGACGAAGACGUUGACUUGGGGAAGUCAUCAAAGAUUAUUUGCAGAGCAGUUGCUUUUUGAAAAGCAACUACUGUGUCUGUACCUUACUUAACUCUGACUCCACGCACGUUCUAGCUGCCAGACUAGGUGAUCAUGUCAAUGGAAACUGCUAACACUCAACCUAACUAGUUAGAGCGUUUUGGACUGACGAAGCUCUGCGACUUUAUGUCUCGUGGAUAUAGGAUCCCCUUCAAACGAGCAAGAACAAAAUUUGCUAUCUAAAUACGGUAUAUGCACACUGCAGGGAAAGCAAACAUACAAUUAAGAUGACAAGCUAAGAUUGUUACUAGUUGCAAUAUAUGCUACGCCUUAGUACGUAGUUAAUAAACCGGAUAACCCAUCCUACUGACUAGAACACAUGCAGUAAUUAAUUAUAUGUCUGCCAUCGUGCUUGGGUUAAUAAGCUUUGAAGAAAUGUUUUAUGAGUCCCUCCAUAAUCUGAUGUUGGAAUCUUGAUAAACUCGGAAUAAUCACCAAGUUGAUGACACAUCAAUAUAAAAGUAGCCUCCUACAUUUUUGUCGCAUCACAUUCAUCAGCAGUUUCAAUAAAUUGCAUUGUAUACGGCGGUACAUAAAAAACUUAUGAUUAUAUUGGGUGUAAACUAAUCCUAGGUCAAGGCAUCAAAUUCAGUUUUGUGCUAUAAGUUCUAACUAGUGGCAUUGUAUCACGUGAUUUGGCAUAGAAUUGCGAGGCCCACUGAUCGGGUGCCCUAUAGUGGCUCCGGUAUCCAAGACCAAGAAAAGUCUUGCACGUUGCCAAAAGUGCCAAGUGGGCAUGAAACUACCAUGCUAAGAUGCCCUUCGCUCAUUUGAAAUGUUAAACUGAUUUAUGUGUCUAGAACUGAUGCUUCACCACUUUCCAAGAUGCUUCACCAUUUGAAUGUUAAAUAUUGUAACAUGCAAGGUAUACGGAACCAGUUUAGCUAGCCUCAGCUGUACGUAAGUACUAAAACGCUUUGCCUCGGUGGUGUCAACUGCUGGCCUGAGCACAUGUGGAACCAUGUACGUGCUUCGGUUUUGUUUAAGUAUUACUAACAUCGAGAUCCAAUCUGCUUCGAUCAGUUAAUAGUUAUGCAAAUUGCUUCAGAGAUUGGUGAUAUGAACCAGUUUAUUUAACCUCAGAGUUCUGAACAGACAUAGGCUUUUAGGUUGGUGAUGACCUGCAUAUAUAGUAAUUAAAUCGCUAAGGUCAGUCAUCAUCUUGGUUGUUCCAACUGUUUUGCCUCGAGAUUCUACGGGCACACAUGGAACCAGCUAGCGUGCAUACAUGUGCUUCAGUUUUUUGUUCCCCACUAGCACAGAAAACAACUCUCCAUCUUGUCGAUUGAUGUGAAAUUGUGAGCUAUCAAAGAAAGCAGCGGCGCAGUUGGAAAGUGGUGAAGCAGCGGGUCACGUUGCGGGGCAGUUUACAUUGCACUCUCGAGUAUUUCGCAUUUACAGUUCAAGUUGUGACCAGCUGCUUGCGCUACACUGUGUUACUCUUGACAGUACUCCCUCCGUUACAUUACUGAAUGAAAGUUGAGAAUCGAAUCGACAACCACGACCCUUAGUUGCUAUGCACUCGAUCAGAUGGCAGACAAGAGCAGACAAGAGUAACAUGGAGAGCAGACAAGAGCACAUGGAUGCUGCAAACUUUGUGGUCAACUAAACUACUGAACCCUGCUGCACCUUGGCUUUGUUCACGCGCUCCAUUCUCACAAAGACACCAUUCGCGCAAGUCUCAGAGCUCUGCAGCCAUGGCGGAGAUCUUAGCUGGAUUGCUCACUUCCGCCGUUGUCAGCAUCGUGAAAGAUAAGCUGGCUGCCGCCAUCGCGGAGCAGGCCAAUUUGCUUUGGAACUUCGGCGACGGCCUGGAGGACAUGAACUCGGUGCUGGAGGCCAUCUCAGCGGCGCUCCAGGAUGCUGAGAGGCGGUCGGCCAAGGAGAAGUUGGUGCAGCUGUGGCUCAAGCGGCUCAAGCAUGCUGCCUUAGACAUUGCCGACAUGCUCGAAGACUACCAAGACAGUAGCAACCGGUUAACUGCAAAGGUCCGUGGUUAUACAUGCUCAAUUCCUUUGAAACCUAUCGCAUCUGUCCUGGGGAGAAUUAAUUCAUUAUCAAUUUGACACUUAUUUUCAACCGGAUGUCUAUAACUCUGGACUAGAAUAGAAUGUCUUCUCGAUCUCGAGCAUGUUCGAUAGAUCAGAUUUAGUGCAAAGGGGUUAGGUGCGGCCGUGUGACUCCAUAAGUUAAGUGCGCAUAAAUAAACUUUAGGCUAUAGCAAGUGUGUUACACUUGGAUACACCUAAAAUUUAAGGCAAGAAAUAUUGCACAAACUUACUUAUAUAAGUCAUUUGGAUUAUUGAGCUUCCUCCUAUAAUUGAUUUUGUGUCAAAGAAAUAUACCUUCUUCUUCAGCAAGGUUUAUUUUUCCCCUUUGUACUGCUCAGGGCCUACUCCUUGGGCCUGAUGAUGUUGUUGGAUAAUAGCUCAAUACCUACUGGGACAUGUAAGCUCGCCGUUCGGGCAUCAGCCAGACUGGUGCCCAGGCUGGAAUAAAAGGCCAUCCAUCUGGUACCGGCCUCGAUACCACCAGUAGUGGUUAAUAUCGGUCAUCUCAACUAACAUACAGACCUCUUAAAUUUGAAAUAUCUAGCCGAUUAGCCAGUUCCUACUUCAGUUUGUGGUUCAAUAUCCAUGUAAGUUCAUAUGAUCUGAAGCCUAUUUGCUUAGUGUAGAUUCCAACUGAGAAUAAAUGAAAUUCUUGCAGAAGCUAGGAGUGCUUUCAUGUCUACCAGUUGCACACAAGAAGAUUGUCGUGGCUACUAGAAUGAAGAGCAUGAGAGAAAAACUGAGGAAAAUCAACAAGGACUUUCGGGAUUUUAAAUUCUCAGAGGGUGGCAUUUGCACAUCUAUUGAGCAACAUGAUGACGAUCGUGAAACAUCAUCACGUUUGCCUGAAGAACCAAUAAUUGGAAGGAAUAGAGAAAAGCAGGAAAUCAUAAACCUCUUAUCCGCAGGUACCAACAAUGAUGAGACUGGGAUUGUUUCUAUCCAUGGCCUUGGAGGUAUGGGCAAGAGUACUUUGGCACAACUAAUUUACAAUGAUGCACAAUUCAAGAAGUAUGACCAUCGUAUAUGGGUUUAUGUGUCCCGGGAUUUCAGUCUAAAGAAAAUAGGAAGCUCUAUAAUUUCUCUAAUACCAAUAGAAGGAGGCCAGCAGAAUAGGGAUACACUGGAAGCCAUAAAUCUGUGCCUAGAUAACCUACUCCGUGGCAAGAAGGUUCUUAUUGUUUUAGAUGACUUAUGGGAGGAAAAGGACACUGAGUUGGGGAAACUAAGGAGUAUGCUUCAGGUGGGCAAGAAGGGCACUACCAUCGAUGUCAUAGUAACCACACGCAAGGAAGACAUUGCAAGGAAAGUUUCCACAUGUACACCAUACAAGCUGCAGCCUUUGAACGAUUAUACAUGCUGGGAAAUAAUUAAGAGAUAUAGCAGGUUUGAAGAUCAACAUUACCAAGAAAGAUUAGAGAAGAUAGGCUUGGACAUUGCAAAGAAAUGUGGAGGUGUGGCAUUAGCAGCUCAAGCACUUGGAUACAUGCUACAGUCCAAAGACCUGUCCGGAUGGACUGAAAUAAACGACAGUGAUACCUGGAAUGAAUCUUUUGAAGAUAAUGGUGUUGUGCUACCGUCCUUGAAGUUAAGUUACGAAAGGAUGCAACCACAGCUAAGGAUAUGCUUUUCUUAUUGUGCCAUAUUCCCAAAAGGCCAUAAUAUUGCUGAAGAUGAUUUGAUUCACCAAUGGAUUGCUCUUGGCUUUAUCAAGCCAUCGAAGGGGAAGGAAUACACCAGGCAACUUUUGGGCAUGUCCUUCCUUCAAGUUUCAAAGUUGCCCAAGGUAAUGUUGAAGUAUAUAUAACUACCAGAACACUAGUCUUGCCUGCUGAUUGAUCUGUUCGCAUAUUGGUUGUUUUUGCCUACUACUAGUCAUUACCACAACUCAAUUGCUGACAUUUGACUUGAACUUACUAAACCCAUGCAUUUAUCAUCCCCACCUAAGUUUGAUAAUAGUUUAGUGUCAUAUAACAUUGGUUUAGGCCAUGUAAUCAUCUUACUAGUCACUGCUUAGCUAUGCCUAAUGUUGAGUCAAUUGCAAUAAUAGCUCGGUGAAUCAGUUCUAUUACUUUUUCCAAUAAAUUUUAUUUGACUAGGAAAUUUAGAGGAUUUAUUAAUUUUUGUUGGUUUUAUAUCUUCGACUCAGCAUAUUAUAUUGUCAAGCAAGGACUAGUCAGAUAAUUUCAUGGCAUAAACCAUCAUUAGAUGGCAUUGGACCAUUGUCAAACUUAGCUGGGGUUGAUUUUCACCAAAUGAAACAUGAGAGAUGAAUGUCACACUUUUGCAAUACUUUAGGGAUUAAAAAUACACCUUUUACCCAAAAAAACACUUUCCUUUUUUAACAAAUUGGCAGGGGAGGGUCCCCUACCUGUUUUUUGGUAUAUAUAUAAAGAAAAAGUGCAUGUACAAGAAGUUACAAAGCUCACAGACUCAAAGAGAAAAAAGGGGGAGGAAUUAAAAGUUACAGAUUACUCAUCCAAUUAUCCAAGGAAAGCUUCACUGUCGUUUUCUUCUCUGAAAUCCAAUUUCCACUUAGCCAUAGACUGAACACCAUUAUCAAAGAUAUUACUGUUGCGAUGACACCAAAUGCACUAGCUAGCAAUGAUGAUAAUCUCCCUGAAAAUUGUUCUCCCAAAAUUAACUCGAGCCUGAAUGAUCAUAUCUAAAGGGGGCAGCAAAAGAUUUCACACAAUUUCCAUAAAUGCCCAGCACAUUUGACUGAAACAACAUUCAAAGAAUAAGUGCAUCAGAUUUUCUUCACAACCUGCAGAACAUAGAAACAUGUGCACUCAUCGAGAUGCAUGUUCUAAUAUCUUCUGAGGAGGCGAUCUCUUAGUAAGAGGCAAAAGCAAAAUUAUUUGGUAGCCUGUCCUUUCAGUUCUCAUUAGUUUUAAUAGUAAUAAAGUACUUCACCAGUCCCAUAACUCACAAAAUGUACAAUCAAGUCCCUAAACUUUGCUACGGUAUGAGACGAGUCAUGGGGUUGUGGACUUGUGGUGCUCUGCUUCAGCCUCCACCGCAGAGGACGGGAGCUGCUAGCUUGCCUAUUAAUUUCAUGUAGAAAGAACAACGAGAGAGAAGAGGUAGUUUUGCUUGCUUUGAUGUGGCGUUAAAGGUGCUGGAGGUGAGUAGGUAGAGCGAUGAUGGUCCAAGCUUGCAGGAAAUGGUAGAGUUGGGCUGGUGGUCGCCACAAAGGAGCUUGCCCUUUGUCAUUGCAAGCAUGUGCAUAGGAUGAGCGCCUCUUCCUUCCUCCACUACCCAUCUUGGAGAGGUAGUGGUCAAACUUGAUGGGUACCUCAGCAGUGUUGACACCAGCGGCAAGCUGGUGACCAGCUAUGUAAGAGCUCACCUCCCAACUAGUAACCGGUCGUCAUAGCCACACAUGGCACCGAGACUUGGAACUGGACGCGUGCAUGGUGACCAAAUGUGAGAGCAACCCAUACGAUAUUGGUAACAUACCGAGCAUGAGAUGGUCUGGAGGAGAAGGUGAUGAAAGGGAGGGAGGAUAGAGCGGGUGAGAGAGAGAGAGGAGAGAUGGGACCAAUACAUGGUCCCCACAUGUCAGGUCCUUGUCAUAGCAUAGUAUAAACAGCAUGUCACGCAGGUGGUUUAACUUAAGUUACACGAUUUGUGACUCAUGGUACAAUUAGCAAGUUUUUUUGGGGAUCUCAUUGUUCAUUUUGCUAGUUCGGGACUGGGAUGACAUAACGUUACAAUUUUGAGGACCGAUAGCAUGUCAUACUCUUUUAAUAAGUAUUAUUUCUUUGGUGAAGAUAUGAUCUACGACACAUAUUUACUAAUAAGUAAACUAGGUAUCCAUAGAGCUUAUACACAAGUAAACUUAGGAUUUAAAUUUUAUUACAAAAUGAAGAAAUUAUUAGUUGACAUUUUAAUGGAGUAUGGUUAACUUAUCAUUUCAGACUUCGGGAGAUCGUAUCGAGCGGUACACUAUGCACGACCUGGUGCAUGAUCUAGCAACAUUGAUCAUGGGUGAUGAGUUAAUUGUUUCUAAUGUUGCAUCGAAGAAUAAUAAAGCACAUAGCCAGAAAUAUUGUCGCUAUGCAUCGGUUACCAAAUAUGACCACACAACAAGGUUAUCCAAUGUUUUACCCUCAAAGGUGAGGGCACUUCAUUUCUCAGACAGUGGCAAGCUUGAUCUCUCUUGUGGGGCAUUUUGGUUUGCAAAGUGCUUGCGUAUUUUGGAUUUUAGUGGAUGCUCUGGUAUACUGUUGCCAGCCUCUAUUGGACAACUGAAGCAGCUGACGUACCUUAGUGCUCCACGAAUGCAAAAUGAAGUUCUCCCAGAGUUUAUGACUGAGCUAUCAAAACUGCAGUACCUGAACUUGAAUGGAUCUUCUCACAUUUCUGCACUACCAGAAUCAAUGGGCAAGCUCUGGUGUCUGAAAUAUCUGGGUUUGUCAGGUUGUUCUGGCAUAUCAAAACUGCCAGGAUCAUUUGGUGAUUUAAAAUGUAUGAUGCAUCUUGACAUGUCAGGUUGUUCUAGGAUAAGAGAACUGCCAAAUUCACUUGGUAAUCUCACAAAUUUGCAUCAUCUUGAUUUAUCUAAAUGUUCCGCUGUCAAGGAAAUACCUGAAUCUUUGUGUGGCCUCACUGAUCUCCAGUAUUUGAACUUAUCAUUUUGCCGUUAUAUCACACGGCUACCAGAAGCUACAGGCAGCCUGGUCAAUCUACAGUAUUUAAACAUGUCAUAUUGUGGUGUCAGGGGAUUUCCAGAGUCAUUUAAGAGGCUCUGUAAUUUAUUGCAUCUAGAUUUGAUUCAAUGCUAUAUUGAGAAAGGCUUAGUGGCAGCUCUGCAUGGCCUCACCGCAUUACAAUAUCUGGAUGUGUCACACGUGAGAUGCACGAAGAAUUUGGAGAAGAAAGAUCUACCUGUAACUAUGAGAAAUCUCACCAAUCUUAAGGUUUUGAAAUUGGAAUCAUUCCUAUCGUGGAACGGAUUUCAGGAUAUCAAUUUUAUUAGUACACUUACCAAUCUGGAGCAUCUGGACCUAUCGUGGAACCAAUUUGAGUAUCUACCAGAAAGUAUUGGUAAUCUCAAAAGGUUGCAUACACUAAAUCUCCAGAAUUGCAGGACGCUAAAGUCCCUCCCACAGAGUAUUGGUUGUGCAACUGGGCUAAAGUCUGUACUGUUGUACGGCUGCUCACACAAAUUGAUGGAUCAGGCCAGUUCUCUAUUGCACUAUUCACUAACAUUACCAAUCUUUAAGGUUCGUGCUGAUGACGUCAGUGCUCAUAGCAAUCUGCAUGUGCUCGAGGGUGAAAAUGCCGUCGGUGAGUUACAUAUAGUUUCCCUUGAAAACGUACGACUUCUAGAGGAAGCACGGAGACUUAACCUAUUGACCAAACAGAAUCUUUUGAGCUUGAAACUGGUAUGGACCUUGGAUGCUCAUCGACAUUUGGAUGACGAGGAUUUGGUGGGCCAACUAGUGCCACCAAUGAUCCUGAAGGACUUGUGUCUAAGCGGUUAUAGCAGUCCGAGCUUUCCUAGCUGGCUCAUGGGCAUUUCUCAUCAUCUCCCGAAUCUUACUUCUAUUAUAUUGAUUGAUCUGCCUACAUGUAGCAACCUACCACCAAUUGGACAGUUGCCGUACCUAGAGAGCCUGCGUCUCUCGCAUUUACCCAAGGUUUCAAAAAUUGACGGGGGUAUCUGCAGUGGCAAAGGAGCAUUCCCCCGAUUGGCAAAGUUCACAGUGACUCUUAUGGAUGGUUUGGAGGAGUGGAAUACAACAUGCCCUGGCGAAGAUGGUGUGGAGGAGUUCAUGUUCCCUAUGCUAGAUGUACUCGAGGUAUAUGAUUGUCCAAAGUUGAAGUUGAAACCAUGCCCACCCAAAUGUCGUGAGUUUAUAAUAUCAGGAAGCGACCAAGUUUUAUCUUCACUGGAGGAGGUACAAACCAGCAGCCAUUGCUGCAACUCUACUCCGACCACCACCAACCUGGCUAUCACGUUUAACUAUCACCACAGUUUCAGGCUGUUUCACCAUUUCCCGGCCCUCCAGAAGUUGGACUUCACCUUCUGUUCAAAUCUAACGAGCUUGCCGGAGGGCAUACAGCAACUCUCCUCCCUUCAGUCACUCGAGCUGAGAAAUUGUCACAGCAUAUCAGCACUGCCAGAAUGGCUGAGCGACACCUCCUCUCUUGAAAAGCUCGUCAUCAAGGACUGUGACAGCAUCAAGUCUUUGCCUGCAUGUAUACAGCACCUCACCAACCUCCAGCAGCUAGUUAUUAUUGGUCGGAAGAAGGAACUGCAGCAAUGGUUCGAGUCAGAAGAGAACAAGGCCAAAAUCGCACACAUUAACAUAGUAAGUUCAUGACCACCGCAUUUAUUUUUCUAAUAAAACUUAUGUACUUCCUGUUUGUGAUUUCCAUGAGAGUAUAAGCUAGAGCUAAUCAGUCGCACUUUUUUUCAACUUUGCAGAUCGAUUUAAGAUUAGCUUAACCAAGUACCAUAAAAAUGCCACCAGGGUAAAAGGCAGGUCAAAACCAUCUAGACUUGAAAAGUGUGAUGCCUGUAGAAGUGCAAAUGUUAUGUAUAUAGAAGUGCAGCUUCAGUUUUAACAUACUCGCCUUCACCUAUUCUCCUGCUGAAAUUGCUUUUGACCCCCAGCCUGUCAUGUGGCUGUGAGACAUUUCUGGGAAACAAGCUCAAAUCAUGUUGAAUCAAAUGAUCUUCAUUAGCAGCUAGUUAUUGAUCGGAACGAAAGAAACUGCAGCAGUGGUGCGAGUCAGAAGAGAACAAGGCCAAGCUCGAACACAUUAACAUAGUAAGUUCACGACCACCGCAUUUAUUUUUCUAAAUCCGGCAUUCAAGUUUUCUACUAAAACUUAUAUACUUCCAGUUUGUGAUUUCCAUGAGAUUAUAAGCUAGAACUAAUCAGUCGCACUUUUUUUCAACUUUGCAGAUGUAUCGUGAUUUGUGAGUAGCUUGACCGAGUGCCAUAAAAAAAUGCCAGCAGGGUAAAAGGCAGGUCACAACCAGCUAGACUUGAAAAGUGUAAUGCCUGUAGAAGUGCACUUCUUAUGUCUGUAGAAGUGCAGCCACCCUCUGUAGAAGUGCACUUCUUAUGUCUGUAGAAGUGCACUUCUUAUGUCUUUUUUCACUUCUUAUGUAUGUAGAAGUGCACUUCUUAUGUCUUUUUAACAUAUAUACUUGUCUUCGCCUUUGUUUAGUUCACCCCCAACUUCCAACUUUGGCACUAUGCAAAAAGAAGAUUCCCCAUCACAUCAAACUUGCGGUACAUGCAUGGAGUACUAAAUGUAGACGAAAUUAAAAACUAAUUGCACAAUUUUGUUGUACUUUGCAAGACGAAUCUUUUGAGCCUAAUUAGUCAAUGUUUUGACAAUAAUUCACAAAUACAAACAAAAUGCUAUGGUGUACUACAGUGCUGUAACAGUAAUUUGGCACCUCCAAACUUUGGCAACUAAACAAGGCCUUCACAUAUUCUGACGAGCAAUUUCAGGCUGUUUCACCACUUCCCGGCCCUCUAGGAGUUGGACUUGCCAGAGGGCAUACAGCAACUCUCCUCCCUUCAGUCACUCGAGUUGAAUUGUUGUGGCAGCAUAUCAGCACUGCCGGGCAUCAAGUCUAUGAUUCCUGCAUUGGCCAUCAAGGCUUUCAGCAUGGACAACAUUGGAACUCCAUCUGCUCCUGUCAGUGACUUGUGACUGUACAAAUAAACUCUGUUUAGUUCAAAUUCUGCAAUAGCUUUUGUCUUCUUCUAAACUUUCCUCCCCUCCUCUUUUCUGUAAUCUUUUUGUAUGUUUCUUGAAUGCUGAAUGCAUCAUAUAAUCACAAGUUCACAACAGAAAGUACAAUUAUCCAUUGACGCAGGACAGCUAAUUAGCCUUUUGCACAGUUGCCUGCUAUCACAUCCUGAAAUUUUUUAAUUUUCGGAUGUGAUUAAAAGGAAUAUAAACAAUAAUUUUUUCGUAAUUUUAAAAUUUUCCCAACAUUUAUUUUUCUUUACACGAAAUUUAGUAUAUGAAAAAUAAUUAUUUGUUUUUCUAAAUUAAAUAAGGUUGUUCUAUGUGUUGCAUUCAUGCCGAUGCAUCUUGGUGUUUCAUAAGUGCAAAAGUUUCAAAAACACGUUUAGACAUUGUCCAGACCCUUCUAAGAAUUUUCCAGCUUUUUUUCGAAUUUAUUCUUCUUCUCCUAGAGCUAAAUCCAAUUUUUGGAUGGUUCCAGAAUCCUUUUCAGGAGCUUCAAGUAUUUUAUUUGGACUCCUCAUGUCCUAAACUAUCUCUAGGAAUUUUCCUAAAAUUUUUGAGAUUUUCAGAGUAUUUUUCGUAGCUUAAUUGAUUUAUGUAGAUUUUUCUAGAUUUAUAUGUACACGGGAAAUGAUUCUGAAAAAAAACCUAUCCUAUCAGUUUGGGCUGAGCCCAUGGGCUCGACCCGUGCUGACCCGCUCAGGCCCAGCAGCCAGCCCGCCAAGGCCCAUCGGAGCCUAUGGCUGUGGUUCCCAGGCCAAGCCGGCCAUGGCCGCCACCGGCUCUUGGUGAGCGUGCCAUGCACGCUAGGGCGCACCCUGUGCGCCUAUAAAAAGCAUGCCCCAGCGCCGCGACUCCCUGCUGCCGAUUCCCAUCAUCGCCGCCUCACACCCGCACGCGUCGCCGCGGGGAGCUUCGCUGAGCUGAGCGCCGCCGCCAGUUUCCGCCGGCCAAUUCACCGCGUUCGUCGGUCGCCGGAGGGAGCUGGAACCACGGGGAGCACCGCUACAUCGAGACACAACCAGCCAGCCCAACCUCGUCUUCAAGGGACCGUUGGAGCACCGCCACCUCGUGAGGGCCCAAGCCGCCGCCAAGCUGUUUCGCCAUCCACCGCCGGCUGGAUUCCAGCUGCUGCCGUGCCUCUUCAUCGCCGGUGAGCACACCCCAAACAUCCCCUCGACCUCCUCCUCCAAUCCCCGUCAUCGACGAUUCCUUUUUUUUAAUUUUUUAAUACCAUUCAGUACUGGUUAUUCUACUCGGUACUAAAGGGGCCCCUUUAGUACCGAACUAACAUUACUAGUUGCACGAGCGGUACUAAAGGGGUUACUUACUAACCAGUGCUGAAGGUGUUUUCCCUAGUAGUGGCCGCUGCACCACUAAAAUUUGGAUGCUAUGCGUAGAUGAAAAUCCUUUUAGCCAAUAUCCAAAUAAGUCAGAAACAUUAGAAGGUGGUCGAAUAUUGAAGGGAAUGUAAAUGGUAUUCCAAAAGAACCGAGCCACAUGGCAAUAACAAAAGAAGUGAUGUAUUGUUUUAGAUGCAUUACAAAAACAACACUUAGUGCUUCCUUGCCAACUUCUUUAGGCCAAAUUAUCUUUAGUGAGGGUCACUCCUUUCUUGAAAUACCAUAGGAAAACUUUAAUCUUGAGAGGAACCUUUAAUUUUCAUAAAACACACUUCCUUGGUAAACUACCAGUUUGUAUCUGUCACACCCGAAGGAUUAAAUCGAGUGCAUUCCAUACAUGUGCGCCAGGAUCAAGUUACACACAUGUACGACAUAAGUGAGUAACAAAGAUAGUGCUAAAUCGAAUAAAAAGAGUAUUAAACAUUUAUUACAUGACCGAAAGUCUCAAAUAAGCACGAACUUAAGUAAAUACGCAGCAGAUUCCGAAGACGAUGAUGACACCACAUGCAGCUGACUGAAGAACCGUACGCCUAGAACUCCUCAAAGUCGUCAAUGUAUUCCACCAGAUUAUCUUUGUUUGAAUAGCGGUUUUGCAAGAGUGAGCACACUUAUGGUUGGUACUCAACAAGUCAUGGGGAAUAGUGUAGUGUAAGACCAAUCAAGGUAUGGCUAAGGCUAAAUCAGCAUCAGCUUUUAAUUAGGUUGGUCAAAUUUUAUUAGCAAUUAACUAGGUGUAAGUUUAUACCACCCAAAAUUAAACAUGAGCAUAAAUAAAGUAAAAAACAUAUGCAUGAAAUAACAACAAUUUAAGUCCGUCUUUCGAUAGUAUUAUCAUGUGAGGGUUCAGGCCGCUCUUAACCGUGAGCACGGCUAAUCGAUCAGUUUUACACUCUGCAGAGGUUGCACAUCUUUACCCACAAGUCACGUAAAAGUCCAACCAUGCGGUGUUUGCAAGGCACCAUACCACACUUCUAAGGUGUGAUUGCAUAGGGACGUUACGAGACCUUUACAAAGAUUCACUAAUAAGUGUUAACCCACUAAGAUUUCAGGUCGAAGCAGAGCAUAACAGUCCCCUAGUGGGUAUACUGUCUUAGCAAAGCCCACUACCCAAGAGAGCGAGUGUUAUACCCCAUCAAUGCCUCCCCUCUUGCCCUUUCAGUAAGAUUACCCCAAACUAGAGUUUCUAAUUAUUCAGCCAAGACCAGAGCCAUAUUUAGUCUUGUGGUAGCACUGUUUUCUUGGGUGGUCGCUCCAUGUUCCGAUUAAGUAUUUGUGAUCUUGUAUUAAUGAAAGGUAUAAUAAAAAUAAAGCAAGAUUAAUCAUUGACUUCAGUUAAACCACCAUAUCCUAAGUAAGCACUAAGCACGAGCCACCCAACAUAAAAGUAAAUCCGGUUGGUCAAGGCAAAGGUAAAUUAUAUCUAGACGAACCUUAAUUAGGACCCAUCAAUUUAAUCUUAACAUGUGCAUAGCAUAAUUGUUGAGUACGAGAAAGUAAAAGUGUAUAGGACUGAAAAAUAGUGAUCAAGGACACGACUUGCCUUCUUGGCCUUGCUCUUGCUGUUCGUACUCCUCGAAAGCUUGAUCUUCAAAUCCCUUGAACUGCUGAACGUCUACACGUGUUACACGACCACAUACAAGAAAAUAAAGGCAUAAGGUAAGAAAACAGUAAACCAAUCACAAUAAACAGAGAAUACAAGAUUGAAAGAUUAAUCUAUGCUUUAAAACGAACACUUGGAUAUAAAGAACGCGAAAAACAGAGUUAAGAUGCAAAAGAUAUGAUUAAAACAAGGUCCAGGGGCUUUUCUACGAGAAAAUAAAACUUCCAGGAGCUUAUUUGAAAGAAAAUGAGGGCUUAAACAUAAUUAUACAAAAAACCGAAGGGCGGACCCGUAAAAAUGGAAAUCUGGAUGGCAGGUUGAUUUUAGAGAAACUCAGGGGCUUAAGAGAAAGAAAACAGGACCAAAACGAAAUUACUUUUGAACUAGAUUGGACUGCGGGUUUGUUGGCGCUAGAAAUCGGCUGAUCGAAUUCCCAGCAUCGGACACACGACCCGGGAGAAUCUGCUUAGCUCCUGUUCGGGUGAUCGCCCUAGUACGGUUCACGCGGCGUGCCAGCCAAUCUGACCUGUUGAUUGGCAAGGAAAGAAACGUGUCAGAUCCCAGAGGUUGCGAUCGGCUAAUGUUCCGAUAUCGAGAUAGCUUAUCAGCGAAUCGGCCGAUUUGCCGUAAUAAGGAAAUCGGCUAUAAUGCAGCCGAUUACCGGGCAGCAUUAAUAAAGAAGACUGCUGGAGUAAUCUAAACAACGCUACAGUAAAAACACUAGGAAUAGAUCUAAAUCGGCUAUGCGUAAAAUAAUAGAUUGAAUAACGAAGCACAAGAAAGCCGAAAGCUCCAAUUCCUAGCCGGAUAACUAGUGAUAAAACUAGAACAAUAGGUAAAACCUAGAAUUCUAGUGAAUAUCGAUAACUGAUGAAUAAAUCUAAACGAAACAACAGCGAUACGCCCAAAGUUAAAGCUUAGAUAUUACUCGGUAAACGGAACUUACAGAAUCAGCCGGAGGUCAAGUUGAUGCAGCCCAGCCAACUCAUACGAACUCGUGAAAAAGAAGAAAAGUAUUGGCGAAGUCGCCUGCUCGAAAGUAAGUACGAGGAAAUAGUAGUUUGUUGUAUUGAUUUGAUGAUGAUUACAGAUCUACAAGGGUGGCUAUUUAUAGCCUUUUACAAACGACUCCUUAACCGACUAGAACUCUAUCUCUAAUUUUAAACGAAAAUGAAUAUUUACAAGUACGAUUCGUACUGAGUUGAUCAUCAUGCUUUCAUGGGCUGACUCCCUUUUUAUCUUCAUAAUCCACUUUAAGCCCAUACCGGCCCAAUUGCUCCAGCCUCCUAAUCGGCCGAUUUCUACCAACUUCAAUCGGCAAGGGACAGCCGAUUACGGCCCACAUGUCGGGGACUCCGACUACUCUGACCCUGGGACCUAAGGUCGGGUGAGG